UUGCCGGGAGGUUUUGUUUUGGUUUAGGAGUGUUUUGGGAUACUUAGUCCCUAAACGGAAGCUUUAAGUCUUAAGAUUUUUAACCGUAGGCGGAACUAUGUGAAGGCGACUUCGGAAUGGAGUUUUGUCGGUUCCGUUAGCUCCGUUGGGUGAUUUUGGACUUAGGAGCGUGUCCUAAAUGUGAAUUGGAGAUCUGUAGCUAAAUUAGGCUUGAAAUGGCGAAAGUUAAAUUUUUGGGAAGUUUGACCGGUAGUGGAGAUUUUGAUAUCGGGGUCGGAUUCCGAUUCUGAAAGUUGGAGUAGGUCCGUAGUGUCGAAUAUGACUUGUUUGCAAAAUGUGAGGUCAAUCGUACGUGGUUUGGUUGGUUUCGGCAUCGGUUGUCGGAUUUGGAAGUUUCAAGUUCUUUAAGUUUGAAUCGGAGAAUGAUUCGUGAUUUUUAGCGUGGUUUGAUGUGGUUUGAGGGAUCGACUAUGUUCCUAUGGUAUUUUAGGAUUGGUUGGUAUGUUUGGUUGAGGUCCCGGGGGCCUCGGGUGAUUUUCUGGUGCUUAACGGAUCAAAAGUUGGAUUGGUGUUGUUGCUGAAGUCUUCAGGCAUAUGGUGUUUUCGCACCUGCAGCGAGGAGACCGCAAGUGCGGGAUCGCACGUGCGAGCAAUAUGUCAUAGAAGCGGAGUUGGGUGGAUUGGUCAGGGGUCGCAGGUGCGUGGAAAAGGCUGUAUCUACGAUGCCCGCAGAUGCGCAAGGCUGACCGCAGGUGCAAAAUGAAAUCGCAGAAGCGGACAGGAUUCCGCAAGCACACACGCGCAGGUGCGGCCCCUUCCUCGCAGGUGCGGAGGCAGAGGGAGGUAAGUGGUUUGCGUAGAAGCGCUCAUUUUAUGGACAAGCGCACGCUCAGGUGCGAGCCUAGGCUCCGCAUGUGCGAAAAUGCCUGGGCAGUGUUUAAAACCGAAGGGCUUCGUGAUUUUUGUCAUUUUGGACUUUGCAAACUCGGUUUAGGGCGAAUUUUGAGAGCAUUUUUGGGGGAUUUCGUGAGGUAAGUUCCUUGUGCUUAUUUUGAUCAAUAAUUUUGCUUCCCCAUUUAUUUUCUCACCUAGUUAGGGUGUAUUUAAGGUGGAAAUUGGGAAUUGGAGGUUAGGGAUUUGGUGAGUUGAUUUGAGGAAUUGAGUGGCGAUUUAGUGUCGGAUUUUAGUAAAUUUAAUAUGGUUAGACUCGUGAGUGAAUGAGUGUUUAUAUUUUGUGACUUUUACCCAAUUCCGAGACGUGGGCCCGAAUCGACUUUUUAGGGCGAAUUUCGGAAUUUUUGUUAAAGUUUUGAUUUCAUUAAUUAGAUGAGCCUAUUAUAGUUGUAUUUAUGAUAUGCAAUUGUGUUUGACUAUAUUUGGGUCAUUCACAGUUGGACAAUCAAGGAAAGAGCAUUCUUACGGAUUGAUUGAGCUUGGUUCAAGGUAAGUUCCUUGCAUAACCUUGUGUGGGGGAAAUCCCCUUAGGAUCUAGUACUGUUGUGAUAUGUGAGCAUCGUGUACGUGAGGUGACAAGUACGUACACGGGCUAUUUGUUGUAAAAACCCGACUUAUGUUACUGAGUAGAAAUCUGUCUUUCCUUUAAUUUGAGUUAUACCGUUUAAAUGAGUAUUAGUCUAUUUUCAUUCUUAAUUGAGUUAUCCCAACAUGUGUAGAUAUCCUGUUCAGUCUAAUAUCCCAUGUCUACGUACUUUAACUGCUUAUUUGAACUCUGUGCAGCAUGCCUAAUUGAUUUCCUAUUUUUCCCUUGAUAUUUAUCAGUCUUAACUGUAAAAAUUAUUGUUGUUAAUUGUUGUAUCUAUCGGUUUGAUCUGCACAUUUACUUUUGAGACUACGAGGCGAUUCUUCGGGAGUUCUCCCUGCAUAUUUACUUUUGAGACUACGAGGCGGUACCUCGGGAGCUCUCCCUAUAUAUUUACUUUUGGGACUACGAGACGGUAUCUCGGGAGCGCCCCUGUUGCUAUAUCAUUGUGCGGUGCUGUUAUUGCUUUGUAAAUACUUGUUGUUGUCUUCUCCAUUUUACUUCAUUUUUAUUAUAGNNNNNNNNNNNNNNNNNNNNNNNNNNNNNNNNNNNNNNNNNNNNNNNNNNNNNNNNNNNNNNNNNNNNNNNNNNNNNNNNNNNNNNNNNNNNNNNNNNNNNNNNNNNNNNNNNNNNNNNNNNNNNNNNNNNNNNNNGUGUGUAGAUCCAGGUACUACUUAUUAGCUCCGCUAUUAGCUGAGAGUGCUUGUUGCUGUACGGAAACUUCAAGGUACAUCUGCCGCGUCUGCAGACCUCGGAGUCCCCCUCUAUUCUCCCCUAUGACAUUUACCUUCCUUACUUCUUUUAUUAGACUCUGGUGUAUAGAGAUACUUGUUUCCUUCAGUAGCUUGUGAGUUACGAUGUUCCGGGUUUUGGGAAGACUAUGUAUUUAUAGAGUAUUGACUAUUGUAUAUGCCGAGCGGCGUCUUAAUUACUUAUAUAAAUUAUCUGCUACUGUUAGUUGUUAAUUUUCAUGUUUUCAUUUCAUUUCCGCAAAAUAUUAGGCUUACCUAGUCGUAGAGACUAGGUGCCGUCACGACAAUCUACAGAGGGAGAAUUUGGGUCGUGACACUAUCAUUUUGUUUUGCACACUAUUGCGGGCUAUGAGUCCAAAAGUGACUUUCUGUUACUCACUACAGUGGGUUUUGGUGUAAUUUCGGGAUAAUUGAUUACAAUUUUAUGAAUUAUAUGCCCUACCGGUAUGGGGGUUCAUUAUGUGUUGUGAAAUUAUUUUACGGAAUUUAUUUAAAAAAAGAGGGGGAAAUGGAAAAUUUCAGCGCGGUUUAAUGUGAUUUGAUAUGUUUAACCCAGGUUGCGUGCCGCGGUGGAAGUUAUAUCACGAUGAGAUUCUUGUGGUUGAAUUCAUGUGUUUUAAAUUCUCUCUUUUAUGUAUUCUGUGCAUAUAUAGCCAUAUUCAUGUUAUAAUUAUUGAGUUUUAGCCUACGAGAUGAGUGCCCAGGUGGCGUUAAAUAUGACUCGUUAAGUCGGGUAAAUAAUUAUGAGGUCUUCAUGCCUCACGUUUUGCUGUCAGUGUUGUGAAAAUUCGAAAUGAGGUUUUGGUUAAUAUAUGAGGCUAAUUGACGAUGCUGAAAUUGAUUAUGAACAGCUAUUAUGACCAGAGAUGUGGUUAUAGGCAUACGUAUGAUGUGUGCGUAGGCACAAGUUGCUACAUCCGGUUGAGACUAAUACCGUGUGUUGAUGUGAAAAAUCAGGUCUUUUUAAAAUGUGUGGAGUGUAAGAAAUUUGGUUUUAAAGUUUAUAAGUAUGGAUGAAAGAAAUAAUCUUCCUGUUUGAGGUUUAUAAGUUUAUAAGUAUUGAAAUCCUCAAAAAGAUUCUUGGCACGUUCGAGGACGAACGUAUGUUUAAGAGGGGAUAAUGUAACGACCUGACUUGUCGUUUUGUGAAUUAGCAUUUUGUUCAGCGAUUUAAGGUCCCGAGCAACUUCAUAAUAUGCAUUAUGAUCCGCGGGUGUGGUCGAGUUUGGUUUUUGGAAGGUUCGAAUUAAAUUGAAAGAGCAAUUCUCAUUUUUGAAGCUUAAAUGAAAAGAGUUGAUCGGAGUUUGACCUUUGGAAAAACAACUUCGGAAUAGGAUUUUGAUGAUGGAAAUAGUUUCAUAUGGUGAUUUCGGACUUAGGAGUAUGUUCUGAUUUGGAUUUGGAAGUCCGUAGGACAAUUUGACGUAUGUUGGCGAAAGUUGGAAAAUGGAAGAUUUUUAGAAAAGUUUGACCGAGAGUUGACUUUAUUGAUAUCGGAGUCUAAAUUCGAUUCCGGAAAUUGGAACAACUCCAUUAUGUCGUUUUUGACUUGUGUGCAAAAUUUGAAGUCAUUCCGGAUUGAUUUGAUAUGUUUCGGCACAAGUUAUAGAAUUUAGAAAUUUCAUAAACUCAUAAGUUUGAUUUGAGGUGUGAUUCGUAGUUUCGGUGUUGUUUGAUGUGAUUUAAGGCCUCGACUAAGUUCGUAUCGUGUUUUAGGGCUUGUUGGUAUAUUUGGUUAAGGCCCCGAGGGCCUCAGGUGUGUUUCGGGUGUUAUCAGAUCAUUUUGGGCUACAUUGGAUGCUCGCUUUCUAAUGUCUAGUGUUGUUCUUUCCAUUCGCGAAGAGCCUCUCGCGUUCGCGAAGAAGGAGUUGGCUUUUGGGAUUUUUUUCUUCGUGUUCGCGAAUAAAGAAUUCAUGUUGUCCAUCACCCGACUUCGGAAGCGUAUAUCUUGCAAUCUAUAAGGAAUUUAUGCUCCAAAAAUAAAAGUUGUAGCCCUUUGUGUCUAGUUUUUAGAUAUGUAAACCGUUUGGAAUUUGGAGUUGUGUACAAAAAGAUAUUUUAGAUACACUACUGGCUGUCUGGGAAGAAUUUAGAAAUCACGAAGAAGAAAUUUCUACUGCACAGAGCUGACUUUGGAAGAUUAUAUCUCGAAAUAUAUAAGGAAUUGGGAGUUGAGCAAAACAUAACAAUUGUAGCCCUUAAUGUCUAGUUUUCGAAAAGUCAAACCACUCAUCAUUAGGAGUUCUGUAUAAAACGUUAUGACCAUUAUACUACAGGCUGUCUGAGAAGAGUUUGGAAAUGGUUGUUGAAGAAUUUGUUCAUCGCGAACGCGAAGAACAAACCCCUGGGCAACAGAAUAAAGUCCAAAAAUGAGACUUCGUCUCAUUCUUCCAUUUUUGGACAAAGAAAGCUCGGGUGGGGCGAUCUUUCAAGGGUUUUUCAUGGAAAACAUUGGGAUAAGAAUUCCUAACUCGAUUUUGGUUAAAAUACAUGAAUCUAUUGUUGUUUUUAUCAUGAAAUUAGUGAAUUGGGUUUAAAAUGAUAGAAAUUUUCUAUACCUUAAAUUGAGGAUUUGGAGGUCGAUUCGUUAUCAAAAUUUGAUAAAAUUGGUAUGGUUGAACUCGUAUUGGAAUGGGUGUUCGGAUUUCGUAAAAUUUCUGUCGGGUUCAGAGAGGAGGGCCCCGCGUUGACUUUUUAGAAUAAAAUUUUAAGUUGAUAUUUUAUUAUUCGAAAUUAUUUUUGAUGAAUUUUAAUGAAGUUAUACAAUUAAUUUGAAUAGAUUUGAGUUGUCCGGAAGUCAAUUCAAGCAAGAAGGCUAUUUUGAAAUAUCAGCCUAACUUCAAAAAGGUAAGUAUCUUGCCUAACCUUAAGUGGGGAAAUUGCCUCUUAGGCAUUGAGUCUUAUGUGAAAAUUGUGUAAUUGAAACCAUGUACGCGAGAUGACGAGUACGUACUUGGUUUAUAUGUGCAAAUUACAUUUGUUGAAAUUCGUAGACACCCUUAUGUAUUAAAUUGAAAAAUUCUUAGAAAAUAGUAAAUCCUUUAUUUGUCAUGCCCAAAUCCUUAUUUGUUGAAUUUAUUUUUAUAUGAUAAUUUAGUGUGAUUGUCACUUUGAUUUUUAUGUAAAUCCCGUGUUUUGUUGAGUUGAUAUUUCCUGGAGAUAAUUUCAUUAUGGAUUAUUCAUUUGCAAAUAAUUUAUUAUGUAAGUUUAAAAGGAGGCAUUAAUCCAUUUGCCAAAAAAUUGGAUUAAAUAAAGCGUUAUUCCUUGAUGAAUUACUUUCUAGUUCAUGUUAUUGAAAUUAGUAUUGAGUUAUAAAGGCCGUAAAUCAUAUUGAGGAAAAGUGUUAAAUUGUAAAAUAUUAUUUUGUUGAGUUGUUCACUCCCAGAUAUUUUUGUUAAGAUUUUGUGCACAUUAUGGUCGAGCCAUAGGCUCCUUAUUGUGGAAAAUAAUGUAUUGUUGAUUUCUGUGAUAAGUUGUAAUAUUUGAGCACUUGAGGUGUAAUUUAUGAGAUGUUGUGAUAUUGGCACGUGAUAUUGUUGGGAGGUUUGUUCGGGUGUUUGCACGAGGUUUCUGCCGUGCUAUUGUUACUAUUGAUAUAUGCACAUGCGGUGAGACAAGGCGGGCUAUAUAUAUGUGGGUUUGCGCAUGUGGCGAGAGAAGGUGGGAAUAUUAUUAUGCACGUGCGACGAGACAAGGCACGCAUUUACUUUAUUAUUGCGAAUGUGGCGAGACAAGGUGGGCUAUGUAGGGGAUUGAUUUGUGAUGACUUGUGAUUGUCUGGGGGCCUUGUUGUUGUUGAUAUUUGUGUUGGGACUACGAGGCAGUACCUCGGGAGUGUCCUUUUGUUGAUAUUUCUCUAUGGCUGCACUUGCCUUUGGUUAUUUUAUUUUUUCGUAAUAUUUAAAUUCUUGUGUUCUCUGUGAUGUAUUAUUUGACUUAAUAUUAAGUGUUUUGUAUUUCUUGUUGUAUUGUGUUGGCUUUGGCUUUUUCGUACGAGACUCUAAGGAUUUGUAUUUCUGGUUUUUACUGGUUUUCGAGGUUUCAUUUGUUUCGAAUAAAAGAAAUGGCUAUUAUGUUUUAAUUUAAUAAAUUUUAUAUCCAAAUCAGUAGCUAUCAGAUGCUUCAUUUUAAUUGAAAUGUCAUUUUCUUUACCCAAACGAGUUCAAAAAUAAACUCAUUUCUUUGUGGAUUUCUUACUUGGUUUAAAAAUUAUAAACUUACUUUAUUAAAAAUAAAUUGAUCCUGCGGAUCUUAUAUACAUUGAUAUUUUGGUACGUGAGUUAUCCAUGCGGUUGUAAUAAAGAUAUGGGCACAAGGCAUUAUGAAAAUAUGAAAGUGGGCUCAGACCCGUAUUUUAUGAUUAUGAAAUGAGGUAUCACAGAGUGACUUUUAUUUGAAAGAACUAUACUCAAAGGAUAUUUAUUUGAACGAAUUAUAUUCGAAAGAUUUUAAUUUGAAAAACUUAUAUGUGAAAGAUUUAUAUUUAAAGGACUUGAUUAAUUGGUUGUACUUGUGUUCCUUAUUCGUUUGAGCAAUAUUUAUGGUAUUCUUAUUGUCUUGUCGUUCGUAUCCCUGAUUGAUUUUUGUUGCCGUCACUGCUACUUAUUUUCUAUUAUCUAUGUAUAUUACUAUAUUGCACGGGUUAAAUGACUAGUGAGUAUCUUGAUUGUACCUUGUCACUACUCCACCGAGGUUAGUCUUGAUACUUACUGGGUACCGAUUGUGGUGUACUCAUACUACACUUCUACAUAUUUUUGUGCAUAGCUAGGUAUUAGAGAUAUCGGAUUCAGACAGAGAUUAGAGUGUGAUCGCAAGGAUUCAAGGUAGGGCUGCUUGGUCAUCGCAGCCCCUUAGAGUCUUUCUAUUUUUAUUGUACUGUCCACUCUUAUUCGAACAAUAUUGUAUAUUCGAUCCUUGGGAUCACUGCAUGUACUCAGUUAGAGUUCGUGACUCAGUAUUACCAGUCUUGGGAGGUUUUUAUAUUUGUUUCCGCUUUUGGUUUUGACACUUGUAUUAAAUUAUAUGAUUACAAAAAUGGCUCAAAAUGUAAUUAUAAUCGGCUUACCUAGUCUUAGAGACUAAGUACCAUCACGACGCAUAUGGUGGGAUUUUGGGUCGUGACACGCGAUCGCGUACCUUUGAGCUGAUUACUGUUCGCGUUCGCAUGACGAAGGCAGCAUUCGCAAAGUGUUAAGAAUGGGCAGCUGGGAACUGUAAUUUCUUCUACGUGUUCGCGGAGGUGACGCGUUCACGAAGGGUGGGAGUCUGUGUGCUUCGCGUUCGCAUGGUUCAAUUAGCGAUCGCGUAAAGGAUUUGUUAGAGGCAGUGUGGUUUGUUCUUCGCGUUAGCGAAUCUUUGUACACGAUAGCAUAAGGUAUUUUCUAGGGUAGUGCUUUUCCUUCUUCGCGAUUGCCGAUUUUCCGAUGAAGAAAUUAGAGGCAAUAUGGUUCGACGCAGGCUCAGGUAAAACCGAGGGCUUCCACAGAUUAGAGCCUGGGGGACGAAUGACGCACCAAAAAUCAGACAUGGCCUAACAUGGGAAGAGCCGAGCUCAAGAAAAAUAAAGAAUCGAGGCUAAAGGGAGGACGGUUAGAAAGGACGAACGAGAGGCCGAAAUAUCCGCAAUCAACAGAAUAUUACGGCGCGAAUCUCACCCGAUUUCAACUGUGCAUCAUGUUUUACUAGAAGAGAAUGAUUUUUACCUUAUUGAAACUUGUACUAUGAUUGAAACUCUCCUACUAUAUAAAUGGGAGAACCUUUUCAUUUUUCAACCAUUGUUGGCACGCAUAUCAAAGCAAUAAAAUUUAUUUUUAUCUUUGUGAUGACCCAAAAUGUCAUCUUUAAAUUUAAUAAGCAAUUUGGUAUACUAAGACCUCAAAAAGUACCAUUUAUUAUUCCUCGACUUGCGUGCGUAGUCCGUAAAAUUUUCCAGAAAAUAUUUAUGUGGAAAAUGGAUUAAAAAUUGAAAUAGAACUUUAAGACACAACUGAGUUGACUUUGGUCAACAUUUUGAGCAAACGAACCCAGAUCAAUAUUUUAAUAAUUCCGGUAGGUCCGUAUCAUGAUUUGGGACUUGGGCAUAUGCCAAAAUUUAAUUUGGAGGUCCCUAGCUCAAGUUAUGACCAUUUAACGGAAACUUGUAAUUCAAAGGCUAAAGAUUUCCAAGUUUGACUACGGGGUUGACUUUUUGAUAUCGGAGCCGGAAUUCGAUUCUGGAAAUUUGAAUACCUCUGUUAUGUCAUUUAUGACUUUUAUGCCCAAUUUGAAGUCAUUCCGGAUUCAUUUACUAUGUUUUGGCACGAGAUUUAUAAAUUGAAAAGUUUAAAACUCAAAGUUCGAAUCGAGGUGCGAAUUGCAAUUCCGAUGUUAUUUGAUGUGAUUUGAGACCCCGAGUAAGUCUUUAUUAUUUUACGGGACUUUUUUGGGAUAUUUGGAUAAGGUCCCGAGAGGCUCGGAUGAGUUUCAGACGAAAUUCGGAUAGUUUAGAGCAUGUUGAAAGCAGCAGGUUCUUGGCAAAACCUGGUGUAAUCGCACCUGCGCAAAGAUGAUCGCAGGUGCGCAACCGCAUCUGCGAGAAGCUGGUCGCUUCUGCGACCGGGCACUGGCCAGUUGCAUCACUUCUACGGAGAAAUUGGGUGCAAAUGCACGACCGCUUUUGCGAAGGCUGAAGCGCUUCUGCGGAAGAGACCGCUUCUGCGGAAGAGACCGCUUCUGCGGUCGUUUGGUCGCUUCUACGACAUCGCAGGUGCGAUAGAAAUGUCCGCAGAUGCGGAACCUCACCUGGCAGCCCCACUUCGCAAAUGCGAGAUUUUUCUCGUAAAUGCGUGACCACAGAUGCGAAAAUGCCUGGGCAGUGUGUAUAUCGAAGAGUCCGACAUUUUUUCUCAUUUUGGUCAUUUUGAGCUCGGUUAAGGCAAAGUUUUGAGAGGUUUUUCACGAUUUCGAACUGGGUAAGUAUUCUAUAACCAAAAGUGAUUAUAUUUCACGAAUCCAUGUCUAUAUUCAUCAUUUAUUUCGAAUUUAGAUGGAAGAAAUUAAAAUUUUUAUAAAACUUUCCAAAAACGAAAAAUUUAGAUUUGAAGGUCCAUUUGAUAUCGGAAUUGGAUAAUUUUUAUAUGGUUGAACUCGUAGUGGAACGGGUGUUCGUAUUUCGCAAGUUUUUCUGGGAUUUAAGAUGUGGGUCCCACUGUCGAAUAUUUAAAUAAAUUUUGGAUAUUUAUCCGAAAAAUUAAUAAAUUCAUAUGGAAUUAAUUCCUAUGAUUCGUAUUUAGUAUAUCGAAUUGUUUGUGAAUAGAUUAGAAGCUUUUGGAGACAAAUUUAAAAGAAAAAAUUGUGGUCGAGUAAUUGAUUAGAAUUUGCAAAGCGAGGUAAGUGUCGUAGUUAACCUUGACUUGAGGGAAUAUAACUCUUAAAUUAUUUGUUAUGUGAAUUACAUGUGAACGAUGUAUAGGCGAGGUGACGAGUGUCUAUACGUCGUCGAAUUAAUUGUUUGCAUAAUUAUUUGAAAAUCAUAAAUCAUUUUAAAUCAUGAAUGAAUUAUUAUAUUAAUUGUUUCACUCAUAAUUCCUUGUCAAAUAGUAAUUCUUGAAUUUCUGUAAUAAUUGCUACAUGCUUAUUUGAAUUAUGUGCAUUAAUUGAUACUUGACAGUUAGUAUAUUAAACAUUAAACUGCCUAUUUUCUCCCUGAUUCCCAUAAUAAAUUGUUAUUUGUCAUUGUUUAUUUCAUAAUUAUUGUAUGCUUGUUGUCUUAAAAUUUUAUAUUAAUUGUUGCAUUUAUUGGAGAAAUUUCUUCUAUAAGAAUUGAUAAAUGAAUAUAUUGGUGGAGCGGGUUGCACGCCGCAACAGAAUUGAUCGAAAUGGAUAUAUAUAUAUAUAUAUAUAUAUAUGAGGAUCGGAUUGCACGCCGCAAUAGACUUAUUUAGAAGUCAAUAUUGGGGGAUCGGAUUGUACGCCGCAAUAGACUUAUUUAAAAGUCAAUAUUGGGGGAUCGGGUUGCACGCCGCAACAGAUUUAUUUAAAAGUCUAUAUAUAAUUGAUUGAAAUAAAUAUAUGACAGACUUAUUUAAAAGUCUAUAUAUACUUGAUGGAAAUAAAUAUAUGACAGACUUGAUUAAAAUGAGUAUCUUGGAGGAGCGGGUUGCACGUCGCAACAGAAUUAAAUAUGAAUAUAUUGUGAGAGCGGGUUGCACGCUGCAACAAAAUUGAUGGAAAUAAUAAUGAAUUAUGACUGCGGAGUUGGCUUCAAUUAUUAUAAAUGAGUUACUUGAUUUAUUUCUAUUAUUUGUUAUUGUUACUAAUAUUGCGUACAAGUUAAUGUAAGUGAACCGUCUUAGCCUCGUCACUACUUCGUCGAGGUUAGGCUCAGCACUUACCAGUACAUGGGGUCGGUUGUACUGAUACUACACUCUGCACUUCUUGUGCAAAUUGCGGAGUUGGGCCUAGCGGCGUACCAUAGACUUGCUUGGAUUUCAGCUACCAGAAGAGACUUGAGGUAUAACUGCAUGGUGUCCGCAGUUCUGAAGUCCCCGUAUAUUUUACUUUAGCUGUGCAUUUAUUUUCAAAUAGCUUUAUUUUAUUCAGACCUUUAUUUAUAUUAUUCUAGAAGCUCGUGCACUUGUGACACCAUUUCUGGGAUGGUAUUUAGACACCGUUAUUUUUAUGGAUUAUUCACUAUAUUUCAGACCUUACUUUCGCAUUUAAUUCUUUAUUAUUAAUAAAUUUAAAAAUUGCUUAAAAAUAGUUAAUAUUAUUCUAACGUUGGCUUGCCUAGCAAGUGAAAUGUUAGGCGCCAUCACGGUCCGAAGGUGAAAAUUUCGGGUCGUGACAGUCUUCUAGAUAUUAUUCAAAGUGUUCUUCAGUUAUUCAUUUCCUUAGUUGCAACCGAGCUCAUCUCGAGGGCUCGAUUGAAACUGGUCUCCGGGUUCAAACUUAAAACCAAGCUUAAUUGUUCCAUCACGUUUGGUUUGAUCAUUUUUAUUUUCUUUUAAUUUAAUUAUUUAUCGUUCUUAGAUCAUUCGGGUUAAAUUAAAUCAUGUAUUCUUUAAACCACAUACAAAUUUAAUUGUUAUUCAUUUUAAGGGUAAACAAGUAUAAUUAUGUAUAUCACUGUAUAAUCUAUGUAUACCAGUUAGAAAAAAUAUACAAUAAAUUUGACUACCUAUUUAUGUAAAGAAUCCUAAAUCUUAAAUGGGAUUUUUUCAUCAUAUAUAAUAUUUAAACCUUAUUUACCAAAAUUGUCCAAAUUUUAUAUAUUACUCGGCCUAAAUAAGUUUUGCUUACAAUUUAUAUACAAUCCCUUAAACUAGCAUCCUUCCAUCUAAAUAAGGCUCAUUUUAGUUGUGUGAUACCUAUUUUAAGGUAUAAUUAGCGCAACUCUUCUCUCUCUCCUGUCUUCCUCCUAUACCGACCCUCAUCUUCCUGCUUCUUCUCUUCUUUACCCAAACAAGGACCACGCCAUCUUUACCUCUUAAUUUCGUAUGUUGAAUAAGGUGCUAUCAGUAUUUUAAAAGGCGUGGGCGUAAGGCGAGGCGUUUUACAUAUGGCUUAGAGAGGCGUAAGCUCCGAGGUACGGGCAUAAGUCCCAUAUGUAUUUAAUUUUAAUAUUUUAUAAAAUAAUAAAAAAACUAGUCAAAACAAUCUAUUAUACGCUACUUAUAAGCACAAGUAGCAUGAGUCUAAAAGAAUAAAGUUUUCUACAUGCAGGAACAGAAAGGAUAACUAACCUGCAAUUUGCAUAAAGAAUUGGGAAAGACCAUGAAUUAGGCCUUCAAUCAAUAAAAAAGGUCUUGACUUUUAAAUUUAAAAUAUUUCAGUUCUUUUUUAAAAUUUUUGAGUAAUUAUCAAGGUGACUUUUGAGAAUUUUGGUAUUAUAUGAAGGACUUAUUCAACAAAUUUUGUUUUAAUUUGAAAAAGACUCUAGGGCUUACGCCUCACUAAAAAAAUGCGACUCAAAUGCCCGGGCGUAUGCCUCUUGAGACUUUUGCCCCACACCAUCGUUUCGGAGUAUUUUUGGUGUGCCUCGCCCUAGGGCUCGCCCCGAAAAUACCUUUUAAAACACUAGGUGAUAUUAAUGUGUUUAUGUCGUUUGAGAUUGAAAAAAAAAUGUUUAAUGAAGUUCUUAGAAAUUGUCGUUGUACUAAGUUUUAGGAUGAAAGGGAAGUGGAUUGCCAUUGUUAGUCACUAUUGCUGCUACAAUAUUCAAGUCUUUCAGUUUAAACAAACAUGAAUCAGUGCACAUGAGUCAGUUUGUAAUUCACUCUCUACUUUAUUUUUUUUAACCAAUCGCGUAAGAAAAGAAUAAUAUAUGGUACAACAACAUACAAAUUAAAAAUAAAUUUCGUACAAAUUUAAUAUAAAUUUGAUAUAUCUACAAUAAUAUACAUACUAAAAAUAAAUUUCAUACAACUAAUUAUACAAUAUACAACUUUUUUACAAAUUAUCUGCAACUUUCACACAUCAUUGUUGUCCAGUUAAAUACAACUACAAUAUUAUACAACUUAAAUACAAUUUCAUACAAAUUUUAUAUAAUGUCUUUUGUAUGUUUUUUGUAUAUGAUUUGUAUAUAUUUUGUAUAUGAUGUGUUCUUCUUCCUCUCUAAAAUUCCAAUCAAAACUUUCUCUCUUAAUACAAGUUUGAUAUAUAUCAACAAUUUUAUGUAAAAUGAUAGUAUUUAUAAUUUAAAUACAAUUUUCAUACAAUGAUUUAUACAAUAUACAACUAAUUUUUAACGUUUAUACAACAAUCAAAUAAAACAAUACUGCUACAAAUAAAAUACAACCAAAUAUGGUUUUCAUAUAAAUUUCAUACAACUAUUAUACAACUAUAAUACAGUUUUGUGUGUGUAUAUAUAUAUAUAUAUAUAUCAUGUAUUAUUAUUCUUCUUCUUAUUCUUCAAAUUUCAGUAUGAAAAUCCAGCCAAAAUCAAAUCUAAGUUAAAUUUAAACUGACGAAAUAGAUAAAUUUAAUCUGCAUGCAAGUUAAAUUUGAUCAAUUUAUGAGAGAUGCAGGCAUAUUGCGUAUAUUUUUAGUUGCAUAAUUAGUUUGGUUUUUGGUGGAUGUUAAGAAAAUAAUGAAAAAACUUGAAAUUGUUUAAUACGUUUUUUUCUCUCCAUUGUUUUAUGAUAAUGUUACUAGACCCAUAAUUUAGAAUGAAAUGAAUUUUUUUUUUGCACAUAAGCUCUUUCUCUCGAUGGUUCUGAGGUGUAUGAAUAAAUAUAAUCCUCGGGGCCGUUUGGUAUGUGGACUAAAUCAUCUCGAAAUUAUAAUGUCUUUAUAAUCUCUGGACUAAAUAUUUCACCUAUGAGGUGGUAUAAAAUAAUCCCUAGUUUGAUGGGAUAAGGUUGGAUAAGAUGAUAUAUCCAGUAUUAAGUCUGAUAUUAAAUUUAUACCAUGUUUGGUUGACGGUAUAAAUGUAUCAUGAGAUAAAUUUUGGGAUCUUUACACAAAUAACUGGUCAUAUUUAUUAUUUACUUUUUCUAGCCAUCUACAUAGUUUAUAUAUUAAUUAUACUUAAUUAUACACAUAUAAUACUCCUUCUCAACUUUUUCCACCCUAUUCCCAUCCCCACCAACCCGCGCCUACCCACCACACCCCAACCCUCCACCCCACCCCACCCCCACCCUAAAUAAAAAUAUUAUUAAUAGUGCUUUUUUAAUGUUAUAGAUAGAUUUUUUUUUUUCAUUUCAACAAAUGAAUAUUUUUUUCAUGAUAUAAAAAAAGUAUUUGUUUNNNNNNNNNNNNNNNNNNNNNNNNNGGGAAACAUAGGAACUUGGGGGAAGAGGAUGAGAGGGGGAUUAGGAGAGUAACAUAAAAAAAUAUUUUCUACUUUCUAACCAAACAAUAAAAAAUAUUUUCCACUUAUCAACCAAAUAAAGGAAAAUAAAUAAUAAAAUCACCCGUUUUACAUGAAAAUAUUUUCUAGAAAAAUAAUUUUCAUAAAAAACAUUUUCUUUCGUACCAAACACACCCGUUAUCUUGUCGUCUACCUGUGAUUGUUACAAUGAAACGUCCAAUGUCAUCCUUCUUUAAAUAUAUAUUAACGUGACUUAUAUGGAAACUUAAUUUCAAAUUGACUCUAGAAAUAUCAUGGACUUAUAUAAGCCAGCCACAAAAGACGACUACAAAACUGGAAAUUGAAAAGAUACCGACAGAAAACAAAGGACCUUAAAGGAAAAAGAAAAAAUGAACAUGACCUCAAUGGUUACGCAUAAGAUGACGUUUGGAAAUUAAACGUCAUUUGACACACGCUUGUUGUUACAUAAAAAGUGAGUAGUAGUCUUUCCGUCCCAAUUUAUGUAGCAAUACUCUUUUCUUUUAAUAAUUAAUAAGUCCCAAAUCCUCCAUUUUCAUUUACGUAAACCUAUUUAACUAGAUAUAAAAUUUAAGAAAGAAAUAAGACUUUUAAAAUUUGAGGUGCUAAAUAAAUCAUAACAUUUGUGUGGCUUAAUUCUUUUGAAACUUAUGGUUUUAAACAUAACACAAUAUUUGUGUUACUAUAAAAGCUUUCCGUCAAAGAUAGAAUUGAAAGUUUAAGUUAAAUUAUUUUCAAAUUUAAAAACAUGUCUUUCUUUUUGGAACAGACAAAAAGGAAAUAAGUUCAUAUAAACUGAAACGGAAGGAGUAAUACCUUUCUUUUAAAAAAAAAUUAAACUAAAACUUUCUUGAAUUGAGAUUCCAAAUUUGGUGACUCGGAAUACCAUUAAUUAAAUAAUUCUGAGUGGCGACUCUAAAAAUAAACUAAAAUAAUCUCAUUUCAAAUAAUGUCAGUUUAAUUGGAAAAACUCCUUAUCUUCGGAAAAGGGAGGUGUGACACUCUCUAACCAAACACUAGAAAAUAUUUUCCGGAAAAGGUUUUCACUCACCAACCAAACAAGGAAAAGUAUGUGAUAAAACCACUCAUUUUUCAUGAAAAUAUUUUCUAGGAAAAUAUUUUUCAUGGAAAACAUUUUCCUUCGUACCAAAUGUUUUACCAAGAAAAGCAUAUGUGUGAUUAAACUAAUUAAUUUAAUAAAAUGAAGGGCUAAACCUAAUUAAUGAUAAUAACUUCAGAUCUAUAAUUGAUUGACAUAGAUAAUGCAAGAGCAAUAUUAAGAGAAGAAUAAAUGUAUCGUGCGUUCAAUGUUCCAAGAUCCUUGAUGAUGGGGGAAUAUUGAGUAAUAAAUAGCAAUAAAUUACAUUAAAGUAAAUAAGGAGAAUGAUUCACCCAAUAUUGAAUGAAGUGGAUGAUUCUUAUUUCUGACAAUGACGAAUGAAAGACCGGUACUAGAAUGUUAGGACUUUUUUUCGGAUCUAACAGAAAAAGUGUGGAAUAAUAGAUCAUCCAAUCUCUUUAGAAAGGUAAUAGUUAUCUUUUAUUCAGAGAGAGUGUCAGUCUUACAAAGCCUGUGUUUUUUCUCCCUUUUCUUCCCUAUCUCCUUUUCUAUUUAUAUGGGACAUUCCCUAAUCAACCCUAAAAGUACGGACACUAUGAAAUAUUCAAGAGAAUAUUCUACUACAAAAAUUAGCCGUUAGUACUGUCCUUCAUACUCGACCUUGGCCGUAUUGACUCUUCGGCUAUAUGCCCCGUUUUCAACUAAUCGAUCUCGACCAUAUCGCUUUCCACGAUACCGCUUCGUGUCAUAUCUUAAUGAAAGCAGAUUUUGACCCAUACAGUUAGUCCCUCCGCUUAUUGAUGUUGGCCCUGGGCGACCUCGAUGAGCGGACUCUGUCUGUUAGGCUUGAGAAGUUUUAUACGAGCAGGUCGAGUAGUAGCGCUUCAGACAGGAUGGAAACAUGGCCUUUUGUGAUCCAUAACCUAGGGUCACGUUGUUUUAUCGUGACGUUAUGUCAUCAUGCGUCAUUAUUAUGCAUUUUCCCGAUACCCUGUAUCGUUUCCUGUGCCUCUGCCGCUUCGAUUUUUGAGCUGGGAAACUGCGAUUUGCUUUCUCGAUAUUGAUGCCCUAACUCUUAUAAAUGGGGAUAUUCAAUUCUUAGGCUCACUCUUUGCUUUCUAAAAAUCAGAUUUUCAUAUCCUCUUCUUCCUCAAUCAGAAUCUCUGCUUUCUUGACCUUACUUCAUACUCCCACCUUCACCGAAUUCGGUGGUUCCUGCUACUCGACUCUUCUGCGUUUACACCCCUUCUAUUCAUAAACAAAAAUGGUUAAUGUGUCUUCCAGUUCUGGAUGAAUACCUAAUCCUCCUCCUUUGGCAGUGUACAUGGCUUCACAUGACGAUGGAGCUGCCAUUGCAGUAGAAGAUGAAAGCUUUCCUACGAUGGAGGAAAUAAUUUUCCAUAGCGAUAAGGCUAGAACUGACUUCUCAAAGCUACCCGAGGAUGACCCUGAGGCCGUAGAGUUUGAGAUAGACGCGGCUUCCCUUGCUAAUUUCAGGGCGAAAUUCAAAAUUUCAGUCCACAUCGUUCUGGUCCCGGCUGGAUGCGAUGUGGUGCAGAUUCAUCGCCCCGGAUAUUGCAUGUUCUAUUCAUAUUCAUUCUACAUGGGAUAUUCUUUUCCCAUUCUCCCAUUGGUAGAGGAGUUCUGCUGCUACUACGACGUCUGCCCGACUAAGCUUUCUCCUUAUAUCUAUAAGCUCAUCCUCAUGCUGACAAAGUACGCGGAAUUGGCUGGCCGCGAGGUCUCUCUUUGCCACCUGAUGCACCUUUUUGCAUUGAGUUUUUAUAGAGGGAUGAUGUUGCACCUUCGUCACCAUGGAGGCAAAAGUUUGGUAGUAAAGAUGGACGAUAAAGCAAAUCGUCGAUUCUAGUUUAAUUACUUCUUUGCCAAGACUGACGACGUGGUGGCGAACGCAAAUGGAUUUCCUGAGGCGUGGAAUUAUGCUCGUAAGUAUUUUCACUAAGUGCUCAUUUUGCUCGUUCUGGUCAUAGUCUAACCGUUCUAUCUUUUUCUCCUUCAUCUGAGACCGAUCCCCCUCUGUUAGUCGCAGAUAUUCACAAAUGGGUUAGCUAGAUGUUGCCCCGCAUAGUAGGGAUUCGUGGGUGGUCGACCUUUUUCUAGAAGUUCGAACCUAAGAUUUUAGGGACCGGUGAGUUUGUCCAUUCAUACAGUGACUUUUUGCUUAUGCCAUCCUGGCCUUGUGGUCGCAUGUUCGUCAUGGAUUUGAUAGUUUCCGUUCUAAUCACUUUUGCAGGCGGAGGGUCUUCGAAGAGGCGAAAAGCACCUACUCCGGCGUUCCGUAAGAGGAAGGUCGUUUCUGUUCCUAUUGCUGCGGUGAGACCUGCUCAGUCAUUGACUACUGCGACAGAUGUCUCAAAUUUGCCUCUACGUCAUCUAGUUGAGGAGGACGAUGAGGAAGGAUCGUCGCUGAUUGAUGAUAAUCUGUUUCGCCGCAAGAGGCGAUAUGUUGGUAUCGGCGAAGAAAGUGUUCGCGUGGGAAGUUCGGUGAUGGAUAAUUUUGUCAUCAGAGAAACAAAGACUAUAGAUCUUAGAGUUGGUGUCGAGUAGCCGUCUACGACCUUGCCGUAGUCGGGGCCGAGGGAUAUACUUUGCUCUUUGAGGUCAUAACGGGAUUUGAAGGGUCAUCGGCGCGAAUACCCGGUGCCUUAUAAGGGGGUGGGACAUCGAUCUCUUUACCGACUGAGGGCCCUUCCUCUCGGGUUGACAACAAGGGCAAAAGUGUUGCCGAAGAGGAUUAUGAGAAGGGCUCCGAUAUGGACGCAGAGGAAGUUAGGAUGAUGGGGGAAGGACUUACCCGGCUUGAGGUGAGGUUCAAAGGGAGCACGCGGACCAUUGCGAUACCUUUGCACCGGGACCUAUUAGUUGAUACAGAGGACGUGGUCCCUUCUCUUGGUCUACUCUGUUCCGAUGUGUAGGGUAAGCCCCUCGAGAAGCUGAAGGAUUCCACUUUGUCGAAGAGCAUAGCCGGCCUUGCUCUUAGGGUAUAUUUAGUAUUCUGUUUCCUUAUUCAUUUUUUAUGUUGAAUUUGACUUUGUUCUUACCCGCUCUGGCUUUAUUUUCAGACCGUGAUCUUGGAGAUUGAAAGUUCCCGUCGAGAAGAGAGACGUAAGGCUAUCUUCCAAAAUAUGGAGCGGAAAUAUCACGAAUAUCGUGAUAAGCACCGUGACUUUUGCCGGUGACUUGGUGGUAGUAGCAACUUCUAGGACCUUCGAUACGAGCUAAAGGAGAAGGAUGACAAAUUAGUGAAGGUCAUCGGAAAAUGUAGUGAGCUCGAGGGGCGUUGAAGGACAAAGAGAAGGAGCUCGAGGUGAGUAGGGUGGUUAAGGCCCAGUGCGCCGACCUUCAGUCCCUAGUGGUCUCGCUGCGUGCCGAGCUGGAGGAGUGUCAACUUCGAGCGGACAUUUUGAGCGGUUAGGUCGCCGAGAAGGUAGUGUAUUUGGAGAGGGCAGAGUCGCCCAGUUAUCAACUGCGUGUAGAGCUGCAACUUUAGAGGGCGCGAUCCGUGUUAUUUGUUCUUAACAGGAUUACGCCAUGGAGACGGCUAGGCUUAGAGAGGAGCGACUUAAUGAGUAGAUUGGGGAGUUAGAAAAAGAGACUGCGGACCUUAGUGAUCGAGUCAUUGCCCUCGAGGCAGAGAAGGCACAGUUAUUAGCGCAGCCGUCCUCCCCCCGUACUGCUUUUCAUGAUGUUCCUUGGGAUCUGUAUGAAGAAUGGAUUCACGCAGAGGCCCAGCUGGACAUAUUCAGGGAUCUGAUAGGGACGGGGGCUGUUUCGGAAGCCGACUUAGCGAAUUCACGUGCUAAGGCACGUGAAGCUCAGUUUGCUUGUGGCUAUGACCCCGCCACACCACAAGCUGGUGAUAUUGAGGAAGACGUGGAAGGGAUUGAGAAGGAUGUCUGGUAUGGCGAUGAGUAUCCCGGCGGCGAAGGUGGAGAAUUGGGUGGAGAUGGUUGAAAUUCUUGUGCAUACUUUUGUUGGCAUCUGUUUUAGCUUUUGUAAGGAAUAUAUUUGAAGUAAGAAAUGUCGCUUUAAUCAUAAAAUUUAGUUUUGUCCAUGGUCGUGGAUUAGAAACUGUUAAUUCGAUUAAGGUCGAACAUAACCUGUAUUGAGUUGGUUCGAGCGAGGUCGAAUAUGAGUCAAUUCGAACGACGUCAAAUGUGAGUUAAUUCGAACGAGGUGGAAUGUGAGUUAAUUCGAACGAGGUGGAAUGCGAGUUAAUUUGAAAGAGGUCGAAUGCGAGUUAAUUUGAGCAAGGUUGAAUGUUGUUUAAUUUGAACGAGGUCGAAUGUGGGUUAAUUCGAACCUCGUUCGAAUGCAAGUUAAUUCGAGCGAGGUCAAAUGUAAGUUAAUUCGAAAGAGGUCGAAUGUGAAUUAAUUCGAAUGAGGUUGAAUGUAGUUUAAUUCAAACAAGCUCAAAUGUAAUUUGAACGAGGUUGAAUGCGGAUUAAUUCGAACGAGGUCGAAUGCAGGUUUAAUUCGAACAACGACGAAUGUAGUUCGAACAACGUCGAAUGUAGUUCGAACGAGGUCGAAUGUAGUUUAAUUCGAACGAGGUCGAAUGCAGGUUACUUCGAACGAGGUCUAAUGUAAGUUAAUUGAGGUCGAAUACGGGUUUAAUUUGAACAACGUCGAAUGUAGUUCGAACGAGGUCAAAUGUAGUUUAAUUCGAACGAGGUCGAAUGCAGGUUACUUCAAACGAGGUCGAAUGUAAAUUAAUUCGAGCGAGGUCGAAUGUAAGUUAAUUCGAACGAGGUCGAAUGUGAUUUAGUUAAUUGUGGUCGGGGGACGGGUUGAUAUUGAGGCGUUGUUGUUCUGGCAAGAACAUGGGCCGACUAUAUACAUUUGUGUUUUGCUCAUACUUGGAGAAAUUUACAUGUUUUUCGGGCUGGUAUUCCAGUCCCAGUCUAUCUAGUCCCUUUAUUGGGUGACCCGGACACGUGUUGAGAGGUUGGGCAAUGAACUAACUGUACGGUGUCUCUUUCCGUUCGCAUUUCGACUUGGAAGUGUCCCCCUUGUCGCCUCGUUAAAAACCUCCUCGAGAAAACCUAAUUGGGACAAAACUCAAGUGAGGGAAAAAGAGUGCGACUUGGAGGACGCUUUUUCUUAAAAGUUAAAACACUUGAGGUGGGCGACGUUCGAGUUGUUUGGUAGUAGUUUUCCUUCCAUUGUUUCUAGUUGAAAUGACCCUUUAUUUGCUGCUGCCAUGAUUUUGUAUGGGCCGUCCCAAUUCGUCCCUAGUUUGCCUUCUUGCGGGUCUUUACUUGCUUGUGUUUUGGCCUUGAGCACGUAGUCCCCGACUUUCACUGGUCUUAUCUUGGAUUUUUUGUUAUAAUAGCGUUUUGCCUGUUGUUUUUGGGCGACUAUCCUUAUGUAGGACAUAUCUCUCCGUUCUUCGACUUCAUCGAGAUCUUGGCUUCUGCUUUCAUCGCUCCUCAACCUGCUUUCAUGGGAGUAUCGCAAACUGGGCUCUCCGACUUCGAGUGGUAUUACCGUAUUAGUCCCAUAGACUAAAGUGUAGGGUGUCUCUCAUGUACUCGUCUUUGCAUUGUUCGAUAGUCCCAAAGAACUUCUGGUAAUAGCUCUGACCAUAAUCCCUUGGCGUCCUCAAGCUUUUUCUUCAUGAUGUUCAGUAUUGAUUUAUUGGAGGAUUUCGCGUGCCCGUUGAACGCGGGGUGGUAUGGUGUGGAGAUUAUUCUUUUGAUAUGCCACUUCUCAAAAAAUUCGGCGACCUUUUUUCCAGUAAAUUGGGUCCAUUGUCGCAACUGAUCUCUUUGGGGAGGCCGAAGCGGCACACAAUAUUUUUCCAUAUGAAGGUGAUCACUUCUUGUUUGCAUAUUUGGGCGAAUUCUCUUGCUUCUACCCAUUUUGAAAAAUAGUCAUUUAAAAAAAAGAAAUCGUACGUUACUUCGCCCUGCAGGGAGGGGGCCGACGAUGUCCAUUCCCAAUUUGAUGAAAGGCCAAGGGGAGGUAACCGAGUGGAGAUUCUUGCUCGCUUGAUGGAUCAUUGGGGCAUAUUUUUGGCAUUGUUUGCAUUUUUUCACGAAGUCUGCGGCCUCUUUUUUCAUGGUAGGCCAGUAGUAACCUGCCUGUAUGAGACAUCUGACCAGAGCUCGAUUGCCUGAGUGAGCUCCGCAAUGGCCUUCAUGGACUUUUUCUAGGAUGCGCCGCGUCUGAUUCGGGCCUAAGCAUUUCACUAGGGGGCGCUAUACGUCCUUUUGUAUAGGUCGUUGUGAAUGAUGUUAUAUGUGGCCACUUGCAUCCAGAGCUUCUUGGCUUCCUUUUUAUCAUCUGGGAGUGUGCCGUCCUGCAAGUAUGUAAUAAUACGGUUGCGCCAUUCCCAGGUUAGAUUUAUAGUCCUUACCUCAAUUUGAUCUAUCGAUGAGUGGAGGAGGGUGACCACGUUUCCUUCUCCGUUUAUGAUUUUAGUUGCUGCCGUUAAUUUGGCAAGGUCGUCUGCUUCGAUGUUUUGUGCUCGAGGGAUUUGGCCGAACUGGUACUCGUCGAACUCGGGCAAUAGUUUGCAGAUCUCAGCCUGGUAUUUUUGUAACCUUUGCUCUUUUAUCUGGAAAGUCCCUGUGACUUGGUUGAUGACGAGUUGAGAGUCACAACGUAGGAUGAUCCACCUCGCCCCGUACUUGAGUGCUAGCCUUAACUGUGCAAUCACGGCCUCAUACUCGGCCUCGUUGUUAGUCAUGUCCGGGCACCUUAUGGACUGGCGAACUACUUCGCAUGUCGGGACUUUGAGUACAAGUCCCAGUCUAGCCCCUGACGCAUUGGAAGCGCCAUCGGUGUACAAAAUCCAUAGAUCUUGUGUUCGCGAAGAAGCGUGGGCUGCUUCUAUUUCGACUUCAGGCAUUAUUUUCGCGCUUAAGUCGGUGACGAAUCGGCGAGGACUUGUGAUUUUAUCGUCGUCCGCAUUUGAUAUGUGAUAUCAUGCUCGCUCAAUUCUAUGGCCCACUUAGCUAAUCUUUCCGAUAGCUUGGGCUUAUGCAAGAUGCUUCUCAAGGGGAAAGUUGUGACUAUCGAGAUCGGAUGGCAUUGGAAGUAGGGUCUAAGCUUUCGUGAAGCUAUGACCAAGGCCAAGGCCAGUUUUCUGAGGUGGGGAGACCUCUUCUCGGCGUCGACUAGGGUUUUGCUAGUGUAAUAGAUGGGAUAUUAUGUACCUUUGUUUUCUCGGACUAGGACUGCACUUCGGAUACAGCGAGGUAGACGAGCAGACAUUCCCCUGGUUCUGCUUUGGCAAGCAAUGAUGGCGAUGAUAGGUAGGAUUUUAACUCCUUCAGGGCUUGAACGCACUCGGAUGUCCAUAGGAGGCUGUUGUCCUUCUUGAGCAUGCCAAAAAAAUUGUGACAUCUACCAGAUGAUCGUGAGAUGAAUCUCGACAAGGCAAUGAUGCGGUCGGUCAACUUUUGAACUUAUAUUUUGCUGGUUAAGCAUUCUGGUAUUCCCUUAAUGUCUUUGAUUUGGUCGGGAUUGACCUCGAUGCCUCUUUGUGAUAGUAGGAAGCCUAGGAAUUUUCCUGAAGUUAUGCCGAACGCAUAUUUCUCAGGGUUUAGUUUCAUCCCAUAUUGCCUGAGUAUGUUGAAGGCCUCUUUCAGGUGGUUGAUUGUGAUCUUCUUUCUUUUUGGACAUGACCAACAUGUCAUCUAUGUGGACUUCUAUGAUCUUGCCGAGUUGGUCUUUGAAUAUUUUGGUCACCAACCUUUGGUAUGUCGCCCCCGCGUUUUUCAGUCUGAAGGGCAUCACCCUGUAGCAGUACAUUCCUUGGUGGGUGAUGAAGGUGGUCUUCUCCUGGUCCUCCUCUUCCAUAAGGAUGUGAUUGUAGCCCGAGUAGGCAUCUAAGAAGCUCAACAGUUCAUGCCCAGUCGUUGCGUCAAUGAGCUGGUCAAUGUGAGGUCGCGAGAAUGAAUCUUUGGUGCAUGCUUUGUUUAAAUCCUUAAAGUCCACGCACAUCCGCCACUUUUCGUUCUUAUUUUUUACCAUAACCAUAUUGGCGACCCACUGGGGAUAUUUUGAUUCCCUGAUGGAGCCGUUUUCUAUCAACUUUUCGACCUCCUCACGGACUGCAUCGUUUACUGCAGAAUUGAACUUUCGCCUAACCUGCCUUACCGAGGGUGGAACGUGUCAACGUUCAACCUGUGUGUGGCAACCUCCUUCGAGAUACCUGGCAUGUCUGCAUAGGAAAAAGCAAAUAAGUCUGUGUUAGCAGUUAAUAAUUGACGGAAUUUACCUGGUUCUUGAAGCUUGCGGCCGACAUAGGCUAUCUUGUUGUGGUCGUUAUCAUCAAGUUGGGCGGGGUCGAGGUCUUCUACGGUUGAUCCUGUGGCGUCUAUUGUUUGGGGAUCUCUGAUGAUAUCCGCCUUUUCAUCACAGCUCGACCUCGACACUGUUAAUUUUUAUGCAUUAUCUGCUUUGUCCUUCAUUUGUUGGGUGUAUGUACAAUCCUGGGCGAUGCGAUAACAUUCUCAAGAUGUGUGUUGUUCACCUUGUAUACUGAAUACUCCCCCUGGGGUUGGAAAUUUGAUAACUUGGUACAAACUGGAGGGGAUAGCCCUCAUGGCGUGUAUCCAUGAUCGACCUAUUACGGCGUUGUACGCCGUAUCCUGGUCCAUGAUGUGGAAUGUGGUUUCCAGAGUGACGCCGUUGGCCAGGACGGGGAGUGUGAUUUCCUCGGAUGUUCGUUCAACUGCAUUGUUAAAACUUGUUAGCAUGAUGCAACGCGAUACUAUCUUAUCCUCGAGUUUCAUAUGUGCAAGUACUCAAGGAUGGACAAUGCACACGCCGCUCCCAUGGUCCACCAUAAUGCGUCUUACAUCUGUAUCUAAUAUUCGUAAAGUGAUAACAAGGGCAUCAAAGUGAGGGAAAACCAAACCGUGGGUAUCUUACUUAUCAAAGAUGAUACUUCAUGAGUGAUUGAUCGUUUGAGCUUGUGGGUUGUGGCGAACUUUACGAUGUUAAUCUAAACGUCGUAUCCGCCCCCGAUGAUCAUUUGAAUGGUGCGAGUCGGUGAGGCUGGUUUCAGCGGUCCCUGGUGUUGUUCACGUCCUCGGGAAAAGUUGGUCCUUCCUCGGUCGCUCAACAAUUCUUUGAGGUGUCCUUGAUGAAGCUUGUUCACGACCUCCUAUCUUAGGGCGAUGCAGUCCUCAGUUUUGUGACCUCGCCCUUGGUGGAACUCGCGGAGAGCCUUUGAUUUUCUAGUGCUUGGAUCUGACCUCAUCUUUUGUGGCCACUUUACUUUUGGUCUGAGUUUCUCCAAUGCAUAGACUAUUUCUGAGGGUGACACAAAACAAUUGUGAGCGGAUAGUAAAGGGGGCAUACCUCUCUCGUUCCGGUAAGUCCCUGUCCUUGGCCUAGAUAGGCCCUCUUCGUGGUGGGAGGGGGGCAUGAUGGGGCUUCUAACAUAUGGCUGAUGCCUUUCUUCAUUGGAUCAUGGAGCUGCAAGAUCUCUCUUGGCAUCAUUGCUUCGAUCCUUCCGAGUUUUGUCUUGUACCGAGGUCAAUCAAUUGGUUGGCCCAUUCAGGUUGUCUCCGUCGGCACGGACCUCGGCGCAUUAGGAAUUAUGUAUUUCAUCCCAAGUAGUUGGAGGAUAUUUCAUAAGCCGACUUAAUAGUUUUCUGGUCACCCUCGAUCCAUUCCCGUUCAGCCCGUUCUGGAAAGCUGCUACAGCCAUUCCUUCUGAUACAUUCGGUAAGGUCAUCCUUACUCUAUUGAAUCGAGCGAGGAAGUCCCUCAAUCCCUCUCCGGGUGAUUGUUUGAUGGCAAAUAUAUCGUUCGCUCUUGCCUCUGCCUUUUUAGCCCCAGCAUGGGCCGUUACGAACUCAUCGGCCAUCUUUUCGAAUGUUUCAAUGGAGCAUGCGGGCAGUAGUGAAUACCAAGUUAAUACUUCUCAGGUAAGUGUCUCACCGAAUUUUUUCAACAAGAUGGAGGAGACUUGUUCUUUGGCGAGAUCAUUGCCCUUUACCGCAGUGACAUAAUGAGUUACAUGAUCUUCGGGGGUUGUCGUACCGUCAUAAAUUUUCAGAUAAGGCUGCAUCUUGAACAUUUUGGGUAUGGCAUAUGGGACAGCUUCAUUACUGUAGGGUUGCUCGACGAACUGACCAGCGUCUCCUUUUGGCAAGAAUUUUGGGGCACCCGGUAUUUUGUCAACUCUUUCUUGGUGUUCUCUCAUUUGAUCCUGAACCAUUUUAUUUUCAUUUUCCAUUUCUUCUAUUUUCCUCAGAAUGGCCGUUAGGGUGUCGUCACCUGCAUUAUUAAUAUUGUGAGUGAUACCUGUUACUGAAGGGGGAGGGUCGUGCUGCUGGGCCGUUGCUGGGGCAAUGCAAGUCCUUGCAUUUUCUCUAACUGCCUCCUGAGUGGGGUUAUUGAGGAUGUCGGUCAACGUAUUUGUCAGCCAAGCCUCGAGUAGCUUCUUAACCGCUGGUGGCGCCUCUUCCGCUGUGGACGUGGAUGCUCAUUUACCACGUGAUGAUGUGAUACUGUCGUGAGGGAGGGGUGAUCCACUUCGUCGGGGAGAGGUGUUAGGCGUUAUGUCUUCGCCUUCUAUUUUGGAGACCUCAUUGAUGGUGUUUAGGAGGUUGGUAGUGAGAUUGGCCACUGCCUUCAUCCUUUCUUUUGCCUUACCUGCCAUAUCAGAUCUGGGUGUACAAGGAAGUUGGAGCUUGUUUUUUGUGAAUUGUGCCAGAUAUAGAUCUAGAAGAAAUUAAAGAUUUAACUAGAGUAUCCCCCAAAGACGGCGCCAAAUUGUUUUACCAAGAAAAGCAGAUGUUUGAUUAAACUAAUUAAUUUAAUAAAACGAAGGGCUAAACCUAGUUGAUGAUAAUAACUUCAAAUCUAUAAUUGAUUGACACAGAUAACGCAAGAACAAUAUUGAGAGAAGAAUAAAUGUAGUGUGCGUUCAAUGUUUCAAGAUCCUUGAUGAUGGGAGAAUAUUUAGUAAUAAAUAGCAAUAAAUAGCAUUAAAGUAAAUAAGGAGAAUGAUUCACCCAAUAUUUAAUGAAUUGGAUGAUUCUUAUUUCUGACAAUGAUGAUUGAAAGACCAGUACUAGAGUGUUAAGACGUUUUUUUCGGAUCUAACAGAAAAAAGUGUGGAAUAAUAAAUCAUUCAAUCUCUUUAGAAAGGUAAUAGUUGUCUUUUAUUCAGAGAGAGUGUGUAAGUCUUGCAAAGGCUGUGUUUUUUCUCCCUUUUCUUCCUUAUCUCAUUUUCUAUUUAUAUGGGACAUUCCUCAAUCAACCCUAAAAGUACGGACACCAUAUAAUAUUCAAGAGAAUAUUCUACUACGAAAACUAGUCGUUAGUGUUGCCCUUCAUACUCGACCUCGACCGUUAUUGACUCUUCGGCUACAAGCCUCGUUUUCUACUAAUUACCUCGGCCAUAUCGCUUUUCACGAUACCGUUUCGUGUCAAAUCUUAAUGAAAGCAGAUUUUGACACUUACACCAAACACACCCGUCAUCUUGUCGUCUACCUGUGAUUGUUACAAUGAAACGUCACUACGCCAAUGUCAUCCUUCUUUAAAUAUAUAUUAACGUGACUUAUACGGAAACUUAAUUUCAAAUUCAAAUUGACUCUAGAAAUAUCAUGGACUUAUAUAAGCCAGCCACAAAAGACGACUACAAAACUGGAAAUUGAAAAGAAAACGAUAGAAAACAAAGGACCUUAAAAGAAAAAGGAAAAAAUGAACAUGACCUCAAUGGUUACGCAUAAGAUGACGUUUGGAAAUUAAACGUCAUUUGACACACGCUUGUUGUUACAUAAAAAGUGAGUAGUAGUCCUUCCGUCCGAAUUUAUGCAGCAAUACUCUUUUCUUUUAAUAAGUCCAAAACAAAUACUCCCUCCAUUUUUAUUUAUGUGAGCUUAUUUGACUAGACAUAAAAUUUAAAAAAAUAAAAUAAAAUAUUUUAAAAUUUGUGAUGCUAAAUAAAACAUAACAUUUAUAUGGCUAUAAUCUUUUUGAAAAUUACAGUUUUAAACAUAGCACAAUUUUUGCGUGGCUAUAAAAGCGAGGGUAGAAUUGAAAAUUUAAGUUAAGUUGUUUCCAAAUUUAGAAAGAUGUAUUCUUUAUGAAACGGACGAAAAUGAAAUAGGUUCAUAUAAACUGAAACAGAGGGAGUAAUACCUUUUUUUUUUUUCUUUAAAAAAAAAAUUGAUCUCAAACUUUUCUUGCAAAAAAUUUAUAUGAAUAACACAUUUUUAUAUUUAAUAAUAAUCUAACUUAAAAAUACCCAUUUUAUUUUUAAUGAGUUAAUUUAGUCUCUCUCUCUCUCUCUCUCUCUCUCUCUCUCUCUCUCUCUCACACACACACACACACACACACACACUAUAUAUAUAUAUAUAUAUAUAUAAAAUUUAUUUUAGAUCACACAUCUCAAUAUUUUUUUUUUAAAGUUUUAUUCUUAGUCAAACAUCAUCACAUAAAUUGGCAUGGAAAAGUAAUAAUUUUAGAGAAAUGUUAAAUAAGCGGAGAUCUCGAGCACCUACUGCGAUUUGUCUUUUGUUGAGGUGUAAUUUGAGACUAAAUGGUACACCUGACACUGACUCGACAAGGAUUUUCUUGAAAAUUCUUUGAUUAGUCAGAAUCGGACAAUAGUACAACAGCGACGUUGAAAUAUAUAGCGUUCAACUAAAUAGUUAGAAAAAGAAAUUGACAAUUGAACUACAGUCGAAUUGUCUUUGCAACUAUAGAACAAACAAUAAACUUGGUGUGCUCUUUAUUGCUAGGGGUGUUCGUGGUUCGGUUUGACUCGAUUUUUGCUUAAAGCUAAACCAAACUAACUAAGGCGGAUUUUUAAUAUUAAAACCAAAUCAAAUCAAUACAGUAUAAAUUUUAUCGGUUUCAAUUUUAUUGUUUUAUCGAUUUGGUUCGUUUUUUUCGAAUUUUUUUCGGGUUUUAAAGAUAUAGCUUAUUAUGCAAAGAAAUUGAUAUAAGUUAAAUUAAACAAAAUAAAAAUAAAAACAAGAUACAGGAAAGCAAAACGUAAGGAGCAUGUGACUAAAUUGGUGUCAUUUACAAAUAGCUCGUCAAUUAGACAAUAUUUUUAAAAGAGCUUUUUUAUAGAUCAAUCAAGAGGGCAGAAAUUAUAUAUAUAUUGAUGUGAAAAAAAGGAAGGAUUAUCUUUUGCAAGUCUGCAACAGAAAAAAAAAGUUAGAAUACUAACAUUUCAUAAUAGAAAACUACCAAGGACAAAAUUGAUUUCUAAAGCAGAAAGAUUCAGAGAAGGGAUAAAAGCAAGUAAAAAGAAUAAACACAAUCAAUUAAAAAUUAAAAUACCCAAUUUCUCUGUUUUUUCCUUUGUGGCAAACACAUUGAAAAUAUAUUGAAAAGUUAAAAUUGGAGCAGUAGUUCUUACUUCUUACUGUGGUUGCCAUUAUUGACAGCAAGAACUAAGAAGAACUUGAAAUAGUAUUGUUCAUUUGCUGAAAAAUGAGACUAGCUUUGGCUUUCGCUGAUAUAAUUUUGGCAAUUUGCUUUUUAACUACGGUUUUGGCUUUUCUUUUUUCCUCCAAACGACAAAAUUUUAUUUUAUCUUAAACUUAAAUGGGCUAGGGGACAAAUGGGCUAGGGAUUUUCUACUCUACUUAUUUGUAUUAGUAUUGGACUUGGGAUGAGCCAAAAUUAUAAAAAAGAUAGAGAAAAUUCAGUUAUUAUUAUAAAAUAAAAGAUACACGCGCGCACACACACAUAUAUAUAUAUUAAAUAUGUAUUGUAACGACCCGACUAGUCGUUUUGAGCUCUAGUGCGUCGUUCGGCAGUUUGAGGAUUUGGGUGGCUUCACUUCAGAUAUUAUGACAUGUACGUGUGGUCAUAAUUGUAUUUCGGAAAUUUUAGAGUUAAUCUGGAAAGAAAAAUUUAAUUUCGGAAGCUUUAAGUUAGAAGAAUUGACUAAGGUUUGACUUUUGAGUAAACGACCUCAGAAUUGGGAUUUGAAAGUUCCAAUGGGUUCGUAUGAUGAUUUCGGACUUGGAUGUAUAUUCGGAUUGAGUAUUGGAUCAACCGGGAGUAUUUCAGCGAUUAUUAUGGAAAAUUGACUUUUUGAAAGUUUAAGGGUUUCCUAAGUUUGGUUUGGAGUGGGAUUUGGUGUUAUCGAGAUUCGGUUGGAAUUUCAUGCCUUGGAAUAGGUUCGUAUCGUGAUUUUUGACCUGUGCGCAAAGUUUGGCGUCAUUCCCGAAUGUUUUGAUAUGAAUCGGACGCGUUCGUCGAAGUUUAAAGAUUUGAAAGUUUAAAGAAGGUUUUGAUCGCCGAUCCAUAGUUUUGAUAUUGUUUAGCGCGAUUUGAGGCCUCGACUAAGUUCGUAAUAUAUUUUUGGAUGCUUUGGUAUAAUUGAUUAAGGUCCCGAGAGUCUCGGGUGGAUACUAGAUGGUUAACAAAUCAAUAUUUGGACUAAGGGAAUGCUGGGUUUUUCUGGUUGCUAGUGCGAUCACUUAUGCGGAAGCUGGGUCGCAGAAGCGAGGGUCGCGUUGUAGAAGAGGCUAGGAGUUUAACUAGCUAGAGUCGCAGGUGCAAAGAAAUUCCCGCACCUGUGUGAUCGUAGAUGCAACUAGUGGAGCGCAGGUGCGGGCCUUAAUGGGGGAGGCUGGGACCGCAAAUGCGGUCAAAUUUCCGCAGAAGCGGGACCGCACCUGCGUAUGAAGCAUUGCAGAAGCGAAGUCGCAUAAGCGCCGGAAGGGACGCAUAUGCGGAAGUUGAGGGACUUGAAGGGAGCCGCAGAAGCAGCUAAUGUUCCGCAGAUGCGAGAUGUCGCUCGGCAGUGAGGUUUUAUUAAAAAAAAUGGGAUUUGGCCGCUUUUCUUCCAUUUUGGGGGUUUUGGGGGUUUCUUGAGGUUAUUCAUUAUUGUGGUUUGUGUAAAUAUUUUCGUUUACUUUGUAAAUUCUAUUUUUAUUGUUCAAUUAGGGAAAAUUAUGAUUUUAAAAUUCUAAAAUGAGUAAUUAAAUUGGUACAUCACCGUUGGUUUUCCCAACGGUGGUAUUAGGCGCCAUCACGACCUUUGAUGAAUUUUGGGUCGUGACAUGUAUAUAUUGUCGGUUUGGUCCGAUUUUUUUGGGAUUUAAUACCAAACCAAACCAUAUAUUAUCGAUUUUUUAAAAUUUAUAUCCAAACCAAACCAAACCGAGUGAUUAUCGAUUUAUUAAGUCAGUUUGACUCGGUUUACCGGUUCGGGUCGGGUUCAUUUCAACACCCUUAGUUAUUACUAUUGAGAUUGUUCUGCUUGUUUUUUUUUUGGGUUUUUAACUACUUUUGAGAUUGAUAUGAACAUAAUUCCAAAACGUUUUAAUAUCUUGAAACCUCUGUAAAUUAUUAGCUUCAGAGAGUUUUCUAUUCUUUUUGUAAGGUAAAUCUCAACUGGAAUUAACUCUAAAAGAUUUAGAGGUUAACCUCAACGGGAGGAAAAGAAAAAAGAUUUACUGGCUAUUUCCAUUUGAUUUGCCGUUCCAUUUAUUAUAUGAAUAAUUAAACCUAGAUUACUUUGAGGGGUUGUUUGGUUGGUCUAGAGGAAUUUUAAUCUCCGCAUAAAAUCCAACAUGAUUUAAUGCAGUGUUUGAUUGUUACUUUUUUCUUUUUCUCAUAAAAAUACCUGCAUAAGUUGCGUGAAUCUAUAUAUUUUUGUAUGGUUAGAAUGUGAAAUAUAAAUAUGUGUGGUAAUAAAACAUGAUUUAAAAAUACUUAAAACGCUCAUAAGUAAGAAAAUAUUAAUUUUGUUUAAUAAAUACAUUAUGUAAGUUAUACAUUGUACACUAAAUUGUAAUAUAUCAAAUUCAACAUCCAAAAAUAUAAUUAAUGGAUUAUGAUCAUUACUAAUUUUAUUUAUUAUAAUUUAUAAUCUACAAUUCUACAAUAUUAAUGGCUACCUAACUUGUCUCUGAAGCAAACGAAUCUCUUGUACUUUUCUAAUACACGGGAAAAGACUUUGAAGAAAACAAGCAAAAGGGUGCAAGGUCAUUGCAAUGUUUAGGUCAUGUGAAUGAGCAAGCUAUGAGACGUCAGCGGUGGUUUUGCUGUCACAAUUGCUCUCUAGUUAUGUGGCACUAAAUAUAAUCGUGGCAGACUUGCUAUUGACUUCGAAAUGUUGGGCUGCCUCUAAUUAACUUUUCACAUAUUUUCCAACUCUCAUUUCCGAGUCAUGAGGGUGCGUUACGUCGUAUCUAAAUGGAGAAAAUAACUAGGUAAAUAAUACAAUUGCAAUUAGUUGAACGUGUAUUUUCGGUAAAAUAAUCCUCGGUUGUGAGACGAGAAUUAAGAAUAUAAAUGUAGGAAGAAUCCAAAUAUCAGUGUUCCUCUAUUUACAGCCCGUCUAGAUUAGGUGAUUAAAAAACAUAUCUAAAUGGUGGAGUUGAUUUUUAUAAAACGAAGAUAAAACUUUAUACUUAGUAGAAUUGUAUAUUUUCAUAGAGCAUCAAGUAGGGUGGUUAUUUUGAACUUGGGCAAUAGCGAUCUAGCCAGUGGAGGUUCUGAGUGUCGAAUAAGAUAGUGGAGUCGCCACCGAAACAGUGAACCUGUUCUUCAAUGUUCAAGAACAAAUUUGGACUAUUUCGCAUAGUUCAAGAGCUAAUUUAAGUCCUUUCCCUUAUAAAAAGGUUCCGGAACCAAAGUGUUACUUUUUUGGACUCAAAGCAUAAAAAUAGGUAAAAAAUAACUGAUGACCAAUUUAUAUAUACCGUAUGCGUUCAAUGUGCUAUACCUUAAGGGUACGUUUGCCCGUUAAGGUAUAGCGCAUGGGUUUCAUGCGCUAUAUGUAAACUUUACUCGCCCACCAAUAAUUAAUUUGAACUUUACUGACCAACCAAUAAUUGAGGGUAUAACGCAUGCAUAAUACACGCUACAUAUGUAGCGCGUAUUAUGCAUGCGCUAUACCCUCAAUUAUUGUACCCCCAGACUGGUUUUUUGUUUAUUUAUGGAGUUUCAGAAUUUUGUAAAAAUCCAUUCAGGAUCCUUCAGGUCUUCCAAAAUAUUUGUUUGCUUAGCUUAUUUUGCAUUUUGUUAUAAUGUCCGAAGAGCAAAAAAUCAGGGUUGCAUUAUAUUGGGAGGUGAGGUUGUGGUAGAGAAUAACUCAGUACGCUAUAGUUGUUCUCCACAGUGAAUUAUUGAGUUUUCACUUACAAUGGAGUACGAUAGAUUGGUUUCGUUGUUAUGUAAAACAUUGAGUGUGAUGAAACGUUCGGUUAAUAUUAAAGUAAUCUGAAAAUAUCUGUAUUAUGUUACUCCGCAACAGGUUGCUUGUUAUGCUGAGUUUAACAUCGAAUACGAUGAAACUCUGGCAGAUUUUUUGAGGACUCCGGAUGAACACCGGGAACUUCUUAUGAUAAAAAUGUUGGAAAUGUACGUCAAGGCUGAAAACGUUCGCAAUAUUGAGGUUCCGCGAAGUAGGGAUAACCCUCAAUCAUCAAAUGAUUUUUUUGGAGCAGUUUUAUCCGAACAGGUUCCGUUUGAAAGAGUUUGGUGAGAUCUAAACUAUCUUCACGGGCGAAUGAGCAGCGAGAACAUAAUUUCUCCCCAUAUUUACAUAAUUCAUAAGCCGAGUGGUAAAUUUCAAGUUUUUUUUUGUAUUACUAUAUUUUUUUAUGUAUUAUAUUUAUAUUAACACUCAUAUAUUCCAAAGGGGGUACCAUCCAUAUAUGAAUUUUACAAGUUAUGAACCAACAGACAGUUGUAAUAUGCCUAGUUUUGGUGUGUUGGAUCAUGAUGGUCCAUCCGGGAGUCAUCAAUAACUGGAUAAUGUGCAUCAUGGGAUAUCAACAGAUUAUGAUUUGUAAGUUAAAUGAUACAGUUUAUAUAUAAUAUUUGGAUGAAUUUGAGGAACUCAUUAUUUUAUUGGUUGUGCAGUGAAAACGAGCAACUUGAAGGUCCUGUCCUUACUCAAUUACCCGAAGAUGAUAUAUUUAAUCGGGAAGUGGCAGAUGCACAGAGCCAGGGAGAUGAUAGUGAUUAUGACAACAAUGCUCAUGAGUCUGGAGAUGACACACCCUUCCCUGAUGAGGGUGAUGAUGAUGGGGAUGAGAAUGAUGAACCUUAUUUGACGAGGGAGCAUGAUGCCACCAAUGAGCAUGCUCCAUAUAUGCAGACUCCACCUUCCGUUAGACCCAGAGUGUAUGAGCCCCAUGUGCCGUUUCAUUCAAGGGAGAUUCCCUACCUUGAUCAGUUUCCCAGUAUGCCGAAUGUGGAUGCCCUCACAAGGGAUCUUGAAAAUAUUCGGACAACAAUAUGGGAUGAAACUAGACCAACGGUGCUGUCAAAUAAUAUGCUUUUUGCUGAUAAAACAUGCCUAAGAAGGGCGAUGCGAAUGUACAUCAUAAAAGAGUGUCGUGAGAUCGUGGUUCAUGAGUCAUCUCCGGAAGUAUACAAAGUUAUUUGUUAUAGAUGGUUUCAAGGUUGUACAUAGAUGUUGCGUGCGAGAAAGUUAAAAACAAAUAUGUGAAAUUUGGGGAAUUACAUUGGCACCCACACUUGUGAAAUAGACACAUUCAGUGGGAGUCAUUGUAACUUAAAUGUUGACUUGAUUUCUCUUGUCUUGAUUCCACAUAUUGAAUCGUCCAUAAGGUAAAGAUUAAAGAGUGUACAACAUCUGUCCACCUGGUAUAUAGAUGUACAAUUACCAAAAGAAAUGCAUUUCUCGGGCGUAAAUGUGCGUUUGAGAUUGUUUAUGGUAACUGGAAUAAGUCAUUUGUUGCUCUACCCAGGUACAUGGCUGCAUUACAACACCUUAACCUCGGGACUAUUGUUGAAUGGAAGCUUGAGCGGAGUCCGGUAAUACAAGAAUUCAUAUUCAGAUAUGUGUUCUGAGCAUUUAAACCAUCCAUCGAUAGUUUUGUGCAUUGUCGGCCGGUAAUACCCAUAGACGGUACCCAAGUCUUUGGAAAGUAUGAUAUUAAGUUGUUGAUCAUCGUUGCACUAGACGCUAAUGGAAUCGUAUUUCCCCUCGCAUUUGCUAUUUGUUCCAAUGAAAGCCAAGAGACUUGGACAUUAUUUUUGAACCACUUAAAGGAGCACAUUGUCAGACAACUUUAAGGUAUUUGUCUAAUAUCUGAUCGACAUGGCGGUAUUUUAAGUUCUGUACAGAAUUUGCGUGCAUGGCAGGAACCGUAUGCCUACCACUGUUAUUGUGUUAGGAACUUGAAGGCCAAUUUUCAGAGGGCUCAUUCGAACAAGAACUUAUAUGAUUUAAUGUAGAUGGCUGUAACAGAUCACCAAGAGUGUAAAUUCAGGAGGCGAAUGGAAUUGAUUAGGCAUGAAGACCCAGAAGCCUAUCGUUGGUUGAUGCGACAUGACCUUGACAAGUGGAAUUUGCAUAAGGAUGUUGGUAGAAGAUGGAAAAUUUUGACUACAAAUGUGUCAGAGUCUUUCAACAGGUUGUUGAAGUCUGCACGUGGAUUGCCUGUCACUGCCAUGGUGCGGAUGUCAUUCAAGCAUAUGGCAGAGAGAUUUAUUGAAAGAUCUAGAGGUGCAUCGUCAUUGAUGAAAAGGGGUGUUGAAUUUAUUCCACAACAAUGAAACGAUUUGAGAAAUAUAGAAAGCGAGCACAGUGGCAUACAUUUUUACAGUAUUGCAGCGAGCAAAAUAUUUUUGAAGUCGCACUGGCCUGCAUCAAAACUGCAAGAAUAAUAUACACACAGUCAAUGAGUCCAGAAGAUUAUGCUCAUGUGAAAAAUGGUCAAUCUAUCACUUGCCAUGCUCACAUGCCAUGAAGUGCUUUCAACACACAGGUUUUGCGGCAACGAGGUACGUUGAUAAAAAAUAUAGUGUUAUUGCAUACGUAAACACCUAUAGUGGACAAUUGCAGCCAGUGGGUGCUGAGCAUUAUUGGCCACCGGAACCAUUUAAAAUGGUGUGUAACAAGGAUUAUGUGCGUCAAUGUCAAGUGCAAAAAAGAAUGCGGAUACAGAACCAAAUUGAUGUUGGUGAUACCGUUUAUGCGUGUAAAUGUGGCAUGUUCCCAAACAGGACACGAUCUCCGUAAAUGUUCUUUAGCUGGUGUAGGAAGCAGUGAUAAUUCAGCUCAUGUGGCAGUUCAUCCAAUGUGCCAACUUAUCAAGGAUAAACAUAGUGUUUUGUUGCAAAAUUUUUGUUGUACCAAAUGUCAGUAAAGGUUCAGUUUGUAAAAUUUCUGAAAUUAAAAUUAUAUUUUUAAUAAGGUUAAAUCUAUGAUAUUUAGCAUUAAAAAUUCAAUACAAUAAUUUAAAAUAUUCUCCAAGAAAUAAAUAGCAAUUUUCAUUCGCGAUUAUCGUUACUAUAUGACACUAUUUCAUUGUCACUGUCUUCAUCUUCUUCGUCAACAUCUUGAACGCACCCUUCCGGACCGAGGACAUCUUAAUCUAGGCCCUAGUUGAAACACAUUUCUCGUAUUUCAUCGCUAUGAUCAAUAAGAAUAUUUGCUUGAUUUCUAUAACAAUAUGGGACUCAUACGUCCAACGUCGGCGGUAGAAACUUAGGUAGUCCCUCCCAGUCAACAACUGUUGGAAAAACAUGAUAAUCAAUAUCUCUAUGCAAUUUUUCAUUUUCUAUAAAUCGCAAUAUUGAUCCUCUAUUCCUUGCAGGUAGUUAAGAUCAUCCGGUGCAUGAUGAACGACUAGUGCCUUUUCCAUCUAUAAAAUCUCCUUCAUCAAAUGCUGAAUCACUUCUGGUUCAUGUUUUGUGUGUGUUUGUUUGAAAGGUUGCAGACAAUGUUUGUGGUAUAACUAGCCCAUGCCAGUGGCAUAGUACUUUAUAAUCACACCGUUUUGAGUAAAAGGGAAGAUAUUGUAGUUUUUUGCCCCAAAUUCGCAUACCUUCAGGCUUUGUAGAAUGCGCUUCGCCCUCAAUAAUGUGCCCUGCAACUUUGAGAUCAGUGUGUAUAUUGAUAGGCUUAUUUUCCAAGGGACGUAGAACACUAUACCACUUGUCAUCAACAAAAUAAGUAUAGCAACCUAGUAUAUUAUUUUUAAGGUAGGGAUUAAUUGUGUUAUGACGUGUUCAUGUGGAUCUGUUGAACUACCUUUACCUUUUUGCCUUUUCUUAAACCACUUAUUAAAUGUUAGUGGCAUUUCUGAAAUGGAUGUCGUGAUGGUUCUUUAAAUGGUCUUUGAAUACUGCAAUGAUGGUUCAACUUAAAAAGAACAAAAUUGCACGAACUUGUAUAUUAAAUGUAGCGCAUCACCAAUAUGUGUUAUGUGUAUUGUCAUGUCCACCUGAAAAAGCUGUAGACCUGAAAAAGCUGUCUACCUGAAAAAACUGUCGAUCUAAAAAGUUGCACCCACUUGUACCCAAAAGAAUUAUUAGCACGCGAAACAUAGCGCACCACCAAUAUCCGUUAUGUGUAUUGUCAAGUCGACCUGAAAAAGUUAUCAACCUGAAAAAGCUGCACCCAUUUGUACCCUAAAGAAUCAUUAGCACGCGAAACAUAGCGCAUCACCAAUAUGCGUUAUGUGUAUUGUCAUGUUGACCUGAAAAAGCUAUGGACCUGAAAAAGUUGCACCCACUUGUACACUAAAGAAUCAUUAGCACGCGAAAGAAUCAUUAUCCCAAACUACGUAGCGCAUCAACAACAUGCGUUAAUGUAACCUAAAAUCACUCUUAGCUGCCUAUAAAACCUCAUGCACUUUAGUUAUUAUUUGCGUUGUAACGAAACGAAGAAAACAACUUUCCAUUAAUUGUUUUAUUUUCGAGCAUUACGACAUGUCUGGAUGCAAUGACAUACCAAGGUGUUACUGUGGCAAACGUGUGAUUUUGAAGCCAUGUUGGUCAAAUUGCAAUCUAGGGCGCAGACGUUCGAUGUGUAAACAAGUUGUAAGUUAUUAUUAUUGAAAGUUAUGCUUGUUAAUAGUUUUAAUAUAACAUGUUAAUUAAUAGUCUUUUGUUAUCAUCCCCAUUGGUAGGACGAAAAUCAAUGUGGUUUUGAAUAAUGGUAUGAUGAAUCCAUUAACCAGGAUUACUACAAAUCAUGUUUGUUAAAAAUUUGGAAUCUAACCGGUGAGUACGAACUCCAGAUCUUGAAACUGCAAGAACAACUUGCGACACUGAAGGAGAAACUAAAAGAGACAAAAGAAGAAAAUAAUCGGUUGGAAGAGUAAUUUAAGUGGUUGAAGCAUAGAAUAAUGGGCGAUAGUGACUAAACAAACACAUGGAUGUGUUAAGUGUAGCUUCUUAUUUUUAUGUUGUACGUGUCAUGUAUUAUCUUUAAUUGUUAACGAAUUUAAAUUUAUUUUAAGCUGUCUUAUUUUUUUGAGUUCUAGUGUUAAACUAAUAAAUAACCCAAAAAAUAAAAACACAUGCGCAAAUUAUGUAAUACAUCAAUAAUUUAGCUAUUAUAUAUUGAUGUCAUAUAUAUAACUCAAAACACAUAUCAAUGAGUCCCACAACUUGUAUGCUUUAAAGAAUUGGCUGGCCUGAGGCGUAUCCCAUCUCGCCAGGCUACGCUAUCAGGAUCAUUCUCAUCACGUCGCCUUUUUAUCGGAGGAUGCGAUAUAGCAUGAUCGUCAGUAAGUCUGGCAGGCUCAGUAGAAGCGGUCAUUGGUCUAUCAGUAACCAACAAAAAAAUAAGAUAUUUUAGUAUAUGAAAUAUAGAAUACUAACGUACGUGUUAGCAAAAAUAUUUAAUGGUCAUACCAUGGUCUCAGCGGGCUCCUGACUAAGAUCAUCCGUCUCCGCCAAGUUAGUAUCGCACAAUAUGGCCUCUGUGACGUGCGAUGGAGAAAUAUUUAAAAAAUUACAAAAACUUUAGAAUUACUGACUAAUCUAUAAGGUAAAAACAAAUUAAAAUAAUAGUAAUACAAACAAACUUGCGCCUGAGUAGCGACACAAUGCUCUAUCGGAACAUCGAGGUGCACUGGAGUAGAUGAAGUAUGUGAAAGAUCCUCAACAACCCUCAAUGAUGAGCCAUAACUCAGUCGUCGCCCACUAUGCACAUCUCGUAUCGGACGAUCAGCAACAACCAUCGAUUGCUCUGGACGAUCAGGAAAAUACUAAUCCCACUCUUGCUGCAUAAUGGCCGUGCCCGCGAUCAACAAUGGAGCUGACGGGGUCACCUGCGAAGUCCCUGGUGACUGCUGAAGGGUGAAUGACCGCAUAUCAUAAGGAGCAUCGUGUGGCUCAGGGUAGUCACCCGGCUGAUCAUAUCUAAUAUCCUCCGCGGGUGCCUCAUUGCACCCUUGCCGGGGACCCCAUCCUCAUCGACCACCACGACCAUGUGGGCUACCCCUCCUCUCUGGACACGCCUACCACGUAUACCACGUUCAGGGGCCACUUGUGGCUCAUUAUGGUACUCCUCGGGCGGCACAUAAGAAGCCUCGUAUCCUAAGCGCCCAUCCUCUCGGGCACGUCUCAAUGUGUCAGCAGCAGGAUUAGUAACCCAAAGGCCAAACCCGUGCACAACGAUCGCUCCCUCGCAUGUAUAUUGUAGCAUCUUCAGUCCCCAGUGGUAGAACUGGUGUAAGCCAAUAGCCCGCAUAGCAUAUAAAAUAUUAAUUACAGAAGGAUACUGUAACAUUAUAAUUAAGUAUAAUAAAUAACAUACCAGUGCCUCAUGACUCCCGAUGUAUGGAAUGUACCGACCACCAGCACGAUGAACGGGAUUCCCGAUGAGAAGUCGGGAAACUCUGCGAUACUAACCCAUGUACUCAUGCUUGCCGUCCAAACGGUCAGAUGGAGGGCGUGUCAGAAUCACACCAUACUUCUGGUCCCAAUCCUCUAUCUAGGUCUCUAGCCAGGCCAAGUAUGUCUGGUCGACCUUGCGGCGAUCAUCCCGUUGGAAAUGUGCCAUGUGUCAUGUGCCAAGUGGGCGAAAUAGGUACAAACUGGGGUCGACCAAACUGGCGAAGGAAUCGCUCGGUGGCAUGAUGCUCGACUAUAUAGAUACAUAUCAGUGGGAUAGAAGAGCUCUAUAUAGCUCGACCGCAAGAGCAAUAAUCUGGCAAUCCACCUAUGAGUGCGUCAAUGUAUGGCCUCCAUACAAACUAUUUAUUAAACACAAGAAUCGUGAGUAAACGCAACACAUAUCAACCCAGGCCAAGUAAACUUAAGUAUAUAUGUACCUAAGCGUAUUCAAGUAAAUCCAACAAAUCCCUGUAGUAAGGGAGAUGAUGUCAAGCCUCGACCUCGCGGGCGUGGCCUUGCCUAUCAACCCACCUCUAAGCUAGCGGGAGAAACGAUGGAGGUGGUGCAUCCGGAGCUAUCGAUGGUAGAGGUUGCUGGAACUGCAGGAAUUUCUCUCAUGCCCAAACCUAAUAUAGAUUGUGGACGUAAAAUUUAAGGUAUUGUUUUACUAUGUAUGUUAUAAUCAUGAAAAGAAUUGACUAUGUUUUCACCUGCAGCAGCGGUAUAAAACCGGCAACAUCUCUCUGGGUGCCCAUGCACUCCCGACACAUCUGCCUAUACAGUUAAGCUAGAACUGUUGCACCCUAGUUGUAACCAGAUAAAUCAUCUAGCCGCUCCAGAUGAUGUAGAAAUCACAAGCUAACUAGGUUUUUCGAAGUGUUCGGGAAUAGUAUACCACCAAACAUUAUCAGCAACAACAACCUCGUUUGCCGGCCAAUAUCCUCUAGCGGUGAAUCAUCAGUAAUCUCUGCGUUCAUCACUACCAGAUGUUGCCUAAUGGUCGUCAGCUACAAUCGAUUGGCCCCACUCAACGCAGUCGGCUCGGCAGGCUGGAAACCGAUGAGCCGCUGCAACAUAUGAAGAUAAUCCUCUCUCGUAUAGUCUCUAAGAGCAUGCGGGUAAGCUACAGGUAUACCAUCAACGGGCAGCCUGAAAAGAACCUCCACAUCAUUUAGCGUGAUGGUAGCCUCGCCGAUGGGUAGAUGAAACGUGUGCGUCUUCGGUCGCCACCGCUCUAUCAUAGCCGUGAUUAGCGCCCAAUCGAACUGCAACUGGCCAAUCUUUAUGAUCCUGUAAAAACUCAUCCGCUGAAGGCAUCUAACUAUACGGGGAUACAAUGGGUGAUCCCUAAUGAACCCUCACAGAUCGUCUAUACGUCUAGGGUGGAAAGUCUAGGACAGACACUGCCCGUCCAAAUGUGUGAAGACCUAUGGUUGCCCUGGAGUAACAGUAGCUCUCGAGAUGCAGGUCCAGGAUGCAUAGGGGGAAGCUCUAUGAGGAUGUCUAUAAAUUGAACAAUAUUAAUUAAAGUAUUUUUCUGUUUAAUUGUUUAACAUCUUUAAAUAUAUUGUAAUAUCUUUUAUAUUAAUAUUUAAUCGAUAAUUUUUAUAUAUUAUUACUUAGGUAGAUACAUUUUAUAUAUUAUUAUUUUAUAUGUUAGUUUCUUAUAUUUCUGACUAAAAUUCGACAGGGUUUUGUUUGACCUAUCAUCUUUUCAGCUAUUUUUGGGUAUAAUAGAAUUAAAUAAUUAAUUUUCAUAACUAUACAUGAUAUAAUUAAUAAGUAUUCAUAUAAAAAUACUUAGUUUGACAAAUUUUCUAUAUUGUUGUUUUAUAUGUUAUUUUCUUACAUUUAUUUACUAAACUUCGAGAAGGUUUUUGUUUGAACUAUCAUUAUUUUUAAGAUAUUUUUGGGGCUAACAGAGAAUUAAAUAAUUAAUUUCAAUAACUAAAAAGAUAUUUUAGUAAUUAUUCAUAUAACAAAUACUUAGAUUGAUAAAUUUCCUAUAUUAAUAUUUCAUAUGUUAGUUUCCUACAUUUUUCUACUAAACUUCUACAGGGUUUUGUUUGAAAUAUCAUCUUUUUAAAGUUAAUUUUGAAUUAUAACAGAAUUAAAUAUUAAAAUUUCAUAAGUAAUCAAGAUAUAUUCAAUAAUUAUUCAUAUAAAAAAUAAUAAAUUUAAUAGUAAAUAAUAUUGAAUUUACUUCAUUCGUAACAAUUUGUUUGUUAACUAUCAUAUUUUGCCCAAAUUUUCCGGCAACGUCUCUUUUGUAACGUCAACUGAUUAUUUUAUGAUUCAUAUCUAAUAUAUGAUAAUUAUCUACUAAUACAUUAAAUCCAUAAUUGAGUACUCUAGCCAAGUUUGUUAAGGAGAGCACGUAGUUUUUAUUCUACACUACGGAAUCUUAAAGAGCACUAAAGUAACACUACUCUAAAUGGCCAUAAACAAAGUCAACUAUACCAUAUGCUAAAAUUUAUUAUCAGUUUUACUACAUUAAAUGGCACUACAUAACAAUUAAAGGCACAACAUAACACUAAGGGGCACUAAACAAUAAUAGAGUCACAUAUUAAUAUACGUACAAUAAUAAAAUUACAUAUAACAAUAAUUAUUCAUAAAAUAAUAAUAUAUAUUCUUACUAAGUUUUUAGCACAUAAAUAAACUAAUCCGGAUAAAAAUAAAAAAAUUAAUUAAAUCACAAAACGAUCACAAAAAAACAUACAACACAGUAAACAAUAACUGAUAAGCAUUUAUAUACAUGAGUUUUACCAAAAAGUAAGUCGGAAUACCUCGAUUUAAUAUUUUUUGAAAUAUGAAAAACUGAUGAUUUGGGAUCCGAAACGAGCAAUAGAUGAGAUCCACUACACACCAACGCCUUGGAUCUAGUGUUAGCUUGCUAAAAUACGGAGAAGACACAAUUUUUAGGGGACGGGUGGGCUCCAAUCGAGAUUUUUGGUUAAAAAUUGGGGGGGGCGGGGAGGGCAUUUUUGUUGCUUUUUGUUCUGUCUGGUCGGGGAAGAAGACUGAUCCGAUAUUUUAUAUAGGUAUAGUGCAUAUAUAGGAUGCGCUAUACCUACCCGUCUUUUUAACUUUUGGUAUAGCGCAUCUUGUAUAUGCGCUAUAUAUAUAUAUAUAUUGCCUGCCAAUUUAAAAUUCAAAUAUAACACCUGUUUUUUCAACUUCUGGUAUAACGCAUCUUGUAUAUGCGCUAUAUAUAUAUAUAUAUAUUAUUCGCCAAUUUAAAAUUCAAAUAUAGAGCAUGCAACACAUGCGCUAUACCUUAACGGACAAAUGUACCGUUAAAGUAUAGUGCAUUGAACACAUGCGUUAUAUAUAAAUUGAUCAUUAGUUAUUUUUUCAUUUAUUUUUGUGUUUUGAGUAAAAAAAAAAAAGUAAUAUUUUGGUUCGGAACUCUUAUAAAAAAGGCCUGCAUGUGGGACACGUGGCAUCACAAGGUACUAUUUAAUUAGUGACUAAGCUUCUGCCAUCAGUCAAUAAAGGCCAAUAAAGGCAAAUCAAGUCCAAUUUUGUAAUUGCAACGUUAGAUUUGACCCCAACAAUUAAUAGAACACAAAUCUAAACAAUCUCAUGUAGAGCUGUUUGGACAUAAGAAAGUUUUUUUUCCAAUUUUUUUUACGUUUUUUCGAAAUCAGCGUUUGUUCAUAAAAAUUUCAAUUUUCACUUGAAGAUAUAUUUUGAAAAUUUUCGAAAUUUUGAAAAAUUUCAAAAAACUAUUUUCAAAAUUUUCACUCAAAUCACUCACAAAACUUCAAAAACAAUCUAAAAUUAUAUUCAUGUCCAAAUACAACUCUAAAUUUCAAAUACCAUUUUCACUUAAAAAAACAAUUUCCCCUAUUUUGGAAAUUUACAAUUCUUAUGUCCAAACGUCAAAUUUGCCAAUUUCCCUAUAUUGUUUAUUCCAAAUGAAAAAUGCACAAUUGUAAAAUAGAAUAUUUUUGGGGAAACUCAUAAGAAAUCAGGUUAUCGAAGUUACUAACAAACCUUGAGUUGGCUCUUUCAAACUCAAGAUUUCGGCUAUGAAUUAAUUUCAUUACAUUCCCACACAAAACCUUUCAUAAUUAUCAUUCAUACAUUUGCUUGCAUCUUUCUAGUGUACCGAUCAGAUAAUUGAACGGUAUUCUUGAAUUCCUCCAACUUUGACAUUUAUACAUAUUCUUAUUGAAUGAUAUCAUUCAUCUUCUGAAACACAAUUAGCUAAUUAAAUACAUCACGGAAUAACGUUAAAAUUAUUAGUUACCAAAAUAAUGUUAGAAAUUUGUGACCAAAGAAUCUGUAUCGAGUAAAAUCGGUUCAUAUUAAAUGCUCAUAUAAUAGAGCGACAGAUGAAAUCAAAGAUAGAUGAAAAGUGAGACAGGUGGAAGUCAAGACCGGAGGCAGCAAUCUUGGUUGGCACCGGGAAGCCCCCGAAGGGAAUGUUGCUCAUGAAGACAAAUGAAUGUCUGUCACCCGAUAGCAUUCAAUGAAGAAUAUUCUGCAGUAUUAAAUACAUAGUCCGUUAUAGAGAAUAUGACAUUCAUAGCCUACCUACAUAUUUUUCAAUGGUCCCCAUAAUUGUCAUUUAAAAAGGGGCUUGAUCUUAGGACCUUGUUCCCUAUGUGUCACUAUAAAUAGGUAUUUCAAUAACCAUUGAAAGAGGAAAAUUUUCUCACAAACUUAUACUAUACACAUUAUUCUAAGUUCAAUAACAUUUUAUUUUUCGCUUAUUAUUGUUAUUACUGCUGUCUUCGGAAGCUCUGCUCCCGGAAUCAAGUUAUCUGUUAUCUCAUCUCGAUUUCAAUGCUAAGUUUUGUAUUUUAUUUUAAAAUAUUUGUCAUUUUGGGAUCAAAUCGAUUCGUUUGUCUAUAAACCACGUAUAAAUUCAAUUAUACCAUUUUACGGAUAAACAAAAUCACAAGCUUGGUUUUUUUGGAUUUAAGUGAUUAAAAAACUGACGAACGGAAUAGCUCGACAACAUAAUGUCUAAAACUGAAAAAGAGACCCCUAGCUCAAAGAUAUAAAAAGAUGAUUAAUUUUGAAUUUAAAAUUAAAAGGGAUUAUUAAAAAAAAAAUUCCCGGGGGUACUAUUCAAACAAUUGUUAAGCAAUUAAAUUGAAAAUUGACCAAGACUUGAAUAUACACUUUCUUGAAAGUAGUAUUCAUUUUCACCAAGUCUUUCUAUAUGGCCACUCCGAUAGUGAAGUCUUCGAAUAAGCAAUUAUCAUUAAUGUCUUUUAUAGACACUCAAUUUCCUGGCACUUUCUCUUCCAUUUCAAAACAUGAAUUUAAUUUAACUACUUCCACUCUCUCCCUUAUAAAUAGCCCAUCUUACCCAAUUAAUCUUUUCAUACCUUUCAUCCAAAAAACCAAUCAACGAAGAUAAAGAAGGAAGAAAAAUUGGAUUCAAUGGAUACAAGUUCUGGGGACAAGUCUUUUACUAUUGACCUUAACACAAAACCUUCAUUGCAGACCAUCAAUAGAAUUCCGGUUGGUAGAUUAUUCUUUCGUCAAAACAAAUAUUUUUAUUUGUUUGUUUAUUAUUAUUAUUAUUAUUACACAAAUUUUACUUAGUAUUGUAGAAUCGGUCUUUUAUGGAAUUAGGGGUCGUUUGGUACACGAGAUAAGGUGGAAUAAAGUGUGGGGUUAAAUUUAUUGAUUGGCGAUAUAAAUUUAUUCGAGGACAAAUUUAUAGUGCUAACAAACAUAGUAUCAAUUUAAUCCCAGAUUUGAUAUAUUCCACCUUAUCCCAUCAAACUUGGAAUUACUUUAUCCUACCUUCCAGGUGGGAUAAAUUAGUUCAUGGAUUAUAAUCCGAGGAUUAUAAUUGCGGGAUAAUUUAGUCCGCGUACCAAACGACCCCUUACUUUUUUGUUUUUGGAUAUCUUAUAAAGGAAUUUGAUAUUUGCAGCAUGAGAUAUUGGAUGAAGAGUUGAUUAGGAUGAAAGAGGAGAAUAAGAAGCUAACAACAAUACUAACAACUUUGUGUGAGAACUACAAUUCCUUGCAAACUCACCUAAUUGAAUUGCUGCAAAAACACAACUCAGAGGAUCACAAUUCCAAAUUAUUAUCAAGAAAAAGAAAGGCUGAAGAUGAUCACAGUUGUGCUAAUUCAGAAAUCAUAUUUGAAGAAGCAUCACCUAAGAGGCCAAGGGAAAUCAGAACCAAUGUUUCAACUGUUUGUGUAAAAACUACUCCCUCCGAUCAAAGUGCAGUAAGUCUGAUUUUAUUAACAAAUUUCGAGUAUAAACUCUCGUAAUAUCUUAUUAAAUUUGUUUUUUGGGUCCGAUUUUCAGGUGGUGAAAGAUGGAUAUCACUGGAGAAAAUAUGGUCAAAAAGUCACAAGAGAUAACCCUUCACCUAGAGCCUACUAUAAGUGUUCUUUUGCACCAUCAUGCCCAGUCAAGAAGAAGGUCAGUUCAUGCAACCAAUCUUCUUAAUUUGACUAAAUGCGUAAAAGAAUAUUAUGAAUGUACUCUGGUGGUAAAUUUUCAUAGGUAAAAAUUUAUCUACACUCGAUGUUACACCAAAUCGGUAAAGGAAAGACAUUAUAAUUUUCAUACAAACAUAUAUCAUUUGACCAUGAUUAAACGAAAUGUAUUAUUAUAAACUGUUAACAUUAAAUUGUGUGAUUUGAUAUAAACUUGAGUGCAUGUAAGAUUUACCCUAUUCUUAUACUCACACUUAGACUAGAAAAAUCAUAUAAUAUUACUGUAUUAGUUUUUUUUCCCACUAAAUGAAUGAAACUCAAUUUGUAGGUGCAAAGAAGUGUUGAAGAUCCAUCAGUUUUAGUAGCUACAUAUGAGGGGGAGCACAACCAUCCUCUCCCAUCCCAAGCUCAAGUUACAGUGCCAUUAAUUAACCAAAAUGUUACAACAAAUCCUACAUUUCUGAACAAAUUCAUGGAAGACAUUGACACAACUUCACUACAGCAAGAUUUAGUCGCACAAAUGGCAUCUUCCUUGACCGAGAACCCUAGUUUCACAGCUGCAGUUGCUGCAGCCAUCUCCGGGAAUUUUUUUGAAUAUGAUUAAUUAGGUUUCAAAUGAAGCAAAGUUACAGUUACUCAGACGGUUUCUGUUUUUUCAUUGAGAUUGAAAUGAACCUAAUCUAAAUUUACCAUUUUGAAAGGAUGUUUUCUUUGCUAUAAUAACUGUUUCUUAGUUCUAUUUUCCUAAUAUUUGGCCUGUACUAGAAUAAAUUUACGGAACAGUAAAGACAAUAUAUAUAGGGCAAAAUAUUGUCUUUAGUAUUCUGUAAAGUCAAUCUUGGGAGCAGAUAUUAGGAUUGAUUCAUAAAUAUAUACGCCAUAAUCGCAUAAGUUUACAUGACAUAUAAAAAAGAAAAACCGUUAUAAAUGAUUUUUGUUAUAAAUAGAAUUGUAUUUAAGGUGAAUGUCUAUAUUUAGAGAAAUUUUAGGCUUUCUUACUUGGUGGCUAAGUCACUUUUUUCGAGAGGUUUUAUUCCAUUGUAAUUCAUCCCAAAAUUAAUAAAAACCCUCUCUCUCUCUCUUUUCUGCAAUAUUCUUCUUUUCCUUUAUUGUUUUAUUUCACAUUAUCAGUACGAGAUUUUACCGUCUCAAGAAGCUCUUUGAGACGACUAAGGUAUAAUUUUUCUCCUCUUUUAAUUAUGACUGAUAUUAUAAAAAGAAAAUUCGUUGCCCUUAAAAUUUCGAGAAAGAACUCUAUGUCAUGGGUGUUGGAUGCUGAAAUCCAUUUAUAUGCUAUGGGUCUUGGAGACACCAUUAAAGAUAAAACUAAAGCAUCUACCCAAGUCUGUACUAAGGCCUUCAUUUUUUUGUGCCAUCACCUUGAUGAAGGGUUGAAAAUAGAAAUAUCUCACAGUCAAAGAUCCACUUGUUUUGUGGAAUGGCUUAAAGGAAAGACAUGACAACUUAAAGUUGGUCACACUUCCACAAGCACGAUAUGAUUGGGCUCAUCUGAGGAUCCAAGACUUUAAGUCUGUUUCUAAAUACAAUUCAGCGAUGUUUAGAAUUACUUUUAAAUUGUAGAGAUAGUAUCACUGACUAUGAUAUGCUUGAAAAAACAUUCACAACAUUUCAUGCCUCCAAUAUGGUCCUGCAACAGCAGUACAGAGAGAAAGGUUUCAAGAAGUACUCUGAGUUGAUUUCUCUUCUCCUUGUGGCUGAACGAAAUAAUGACUUGCUCAUGAGAAGUCACGAUAAUCGACCCACUGGGUCUACACCAUUGCCCGAAGUGGAUGAGGUGUAUUCCCAUUAUGCUAAGCGUGAAAAAAGUCGUGGCCCUGUUUGUGGCCGUGUCCAAGGAAGAAGUUUUCCUGGUAUUAAUUAUCUCCCAAAGAAAAAUAACUACCACAAGUGAAAAGGGAAAGAUGAGAAGCCAAAAGCAAAGGGUUCAGAAACUGAAUGCUAUUGUUGCGGUGGAAAAGGGCAUUGGGCAAGUAUUGUUGUACACCAGGACAUUUGGUUGAAUUUUAUCAAGCAUCUCUAAAGAAUAAAGGUCCUUAAGCUAAUUUUGUCUAUGACAAUGAAUUUGACAUCACCCACUUGGAUGCGACAGACUUCUUUGAGCACCCUCAUUAAAAAAUAGACCAUUUGAUCGGUGAUGGAUCCGUGAUUAAAGAUAAUUGAUUAAUUUAAUUUUUAUUUUUGCCUAUUCGUAAUAGCUAGUGAAUAAAUAUCCUGUAAUUACAGUUCUUUACGUGAGUAGUAAUCAUUAGUAUCAUUUAUUUAUGAAAUAGUUUUAGUUCGUUUUGAUUAAAUAUAGGUGUAGUGUUUUUUUAACAAUGUUUGAGUUCGCCUUAUUCGUCAUGCGAGUUGACUAUUGGUUUACAAUCUCUUGCAUAUUCAGCCAAUGUUUCUUGCUGAGACCUUGAUAACUAAAACAAUUUCAUAUUAAUGUGAAAUGCUGACUAUAUUUUGUAUGCUUUCGUUCUUUUACCAUUAAGGUGCUUAGUUGCAUUACUUGCAUUGGUAUCUUUGGUUUCUGAUCUAGUUGACAAUACACGUAUAUGAGGUUAACAUAAAUUCCUUCCCUUUGGAUAUUUGCAUAUAUUAGACCCAAAUGGCUUUUGAAUUUAAUGUUGCUAUAGAAAAUAUUAAGAGCUACUGGAAUUAAUUUUACGGCAGAUCAGAUAACAGGAUUGGACUAGUAAUUAAGCACUAAAUAACUGGUUACUAAUUUUACAUAUUUCGCCAAUAUCCAUCUUCAUGGUACUUGUUCUAUGGAUGUAUUUAGAGUUUAAAAAAAAUUAGUAAUUAUUUGUAUCAUAAUCAGAGAUUGCUCGAAAUUGCGUUAAAAAAUCAUUAUUGAAUCAUUGAUUUAACUUUAUUUUUUUCUCUCUGAAAUGUCUAUUCAUAUAUUUCUUUUGUAUAUCAAACCAUGGGAAGCAAAUAUGGAUAUCUCUCAAAGCAAACUUGGAUCAAAGUUUAAUUGUAAAAAUAUUUGUUUAAUUGAUUCAUGUACCACACAUACAAUAUUCAAAAAGAAGAAAUAUUUCUCUCAUUUAAGUAUGUGUAAGGCAGAUGUUACUAAAAUUUCUGGUAGUAGUAAUCUAAUUGAAGGCUCUGGAACAGCUACUAUAACUCUGCCUAGGGGAACAAUACUUAUCAUAGAUAAUGCAAUGUUCUCCUCCAAGUCCAAGAGGAACAUGUUGAGUUUUAAAGAUAUCUGCCGAAAUGGAUAUCAUAUUGAGACAAUAGAUGAGAAUAAUCUUGAAUAUCUCAUCGAUACCAAGAAUGUCUCUGGCCAGAAAAGGGUGAUCGAGAAGUCCAUCUUUAUCUUGUGGCCUGUAUUGGACAAGAAUUAGUACAAUUGGGGCACAUCGUAAACCAAAAGGUUACUAAUUCUAAUACUUUUGUAUUUUGGCAUGAUCGAUUGGGACAUCCUGGAUCAAUUAUGAUGAGAUGAAUUAUAAAAAACUCAAAUGGGCACCCAUUAAAGAAUUUAAAGAUUCUUUUAAAUAAUAAUUUUUCUUGUACUUCUUGUUAUCAAGGCAAGUUAAUUAUUGGACCAUCGCCAACAAAUGAUGGAAUUGAGUCCCCUGCUUUUUCGGAAUGUAUACAAGGGGACAUUUGUGGACCUAUUCACCCACCUAGUGGGUCGUUUAGAUAUUUUAUGGUCUUAAUAGAUGCAUCUUCUAGAUGGUCUCAUGUGUGCCUAUUAUCAUCUCGAAACCUCGCAUUUGCAAAAUUAAUGGCACAAAUAAUUCGAUUGCGGGCACAGUUUCCCGAUAAUCCAAUUAAGUCUAUUCGACUUGAUAAUGCUGCUGAGUUUUCAUCCCAAACAUUUAAUGAUUAUUGCUUAUCAAUUGGGAUAAAAAUAAAACAUCUUAUAGCUCAUGUUCACACUCCAAAUGGCUUUGCAGAAUCUCUGAUUAAACAUCUGCAAUUAAUAGCAAGACCGUUACUUAUGAAAAUGAGAUUUUCCAGUUUUGUUUGGGGUCAUGCCAUUUUGCAUGCAACAAUGCUAGUUCGUCUCAGACCGAUAAAUUACCAUAAAUAUUUCCCGUCGCAAUUAGUUUUGGGUCAUGAACCUAACAUAUCCCAUUUAAUAAUUUUUAGAUGCGCAGUAUAUGUGCCUGCAGCACAGCCAUAUCGCACCAAGAUGGUUCCCCAAAGAAAGUUAGGAAUAUAUGUUGGGUUUGAAUCGCCCUCCAUUAUUCUCUACCUCGAAACAUUAACGGAAAUUUGUUCACUGCUCAAUUUGCAGAUUGUCUAUUCGAUGAGGCAUUUUUUCCAAAAUUAGGGGGAGAAAAUAGUGAAAUCCAACGGGAAAUUUUGUGAAAAAAUUCAUUAUUGUCUCAUCUUGAUCCACGUGCCUCCAUUUGUGAAAAGAGGUACAAAAGAUUAUUUAUUUGUAGAAAAUAGCAAAUCAAAUGCCAGAAGCAUUUACGGAUCUAAAAAGAAUAACAAAAUCACAUACCCCUGCAGAGAAUGUACCAAUUCGUAUUAAUAUCCCUGUUGGAUAAUCUUCUAAUGUCACAACUAAUGAGUCAACAGCACGCCUAAAACGUGGCAGACCAUUGGGUUCUAAGGAUCGAAAUCCUAGAAAAAUAAAUAAAUGAUGAAGAUGACACUAUGAAAGAAUCUUAUAAAGAAAUUCAUGAUUUAAUCGAUCUUGAGAUUCAUGAGGAAAUCACUGAGCCUGAGACUCAAGAAAACAAGGAACUAUAAAAUAACUUAAUCGAUAUUGAGACAAAUUUGAAUCGAUUGGAUAUAGUGGUAGAUUCUGUCUUUGCAUAUAAUGUUGCAUCUAGAAUUAUACAAGAUAGUGAUGAUCUUGAACCUCAUUCUGUUGGAGAAUGUCGACAAAGACGUGAUUGGCCAAAAUGGCAAGAAACAAUCCAAUUGAGUUGGAUUCGCUUGCGAAACAUGAAGUUUCUGGGUCUGUAGUCCAAACACCUAAUGGUGUUAAGCUUGUUGGCUAUAAAUGGGUCUUUGUACGUAAGAGAAAUGAGAAAAAUAAGAUACAAAGACAUAAGGCACGCCUUGUUGCACAAAGAUUUUAACCAAGGCCUGGUGUCACGACCCCAAUUUUUCUCUGUAGGAUGUCGUGAUGGCACAUAGUCUCUAAGACUAGGUAAGCCUAACAUUCAUGCAAAAUAUAACAAAAAUAAUAAUAAUUAAAGUAUCAAUAACUCAACAACUAGUAUAAAAUAAACUCCGCAAUUCAGUAUAUACAACUUCCCAAAACCCGGUGAUAACAACUCACAAGCUUUACAAAUAAGUACUGAUCAUCCAUAUACAACGAUGUGUCUUUAAAGGAAGAAAUAUAACAAACUAGAUAGAGGGGGACUCCGAGGCCUGCGGACGCUGGCAAGUAUACCUUGAAGUCUCCAAAGCCGAACUCGUCUCGUUAGUGCCUGGACUGGUAGGAGGUACCUGGAUCUGCACAAAAAGAUGUGCAAAAGCGUAGCAUAAGUAUACCACAACGGUACACAAUAAUUGCGAAGUCUAACCUCGGUAGAGUAAUUACGAGGUCAGGUCAAGGCUCUACUGUAAUAAAUAAGAAACAGAACGAGUACUUAACAAUAUAAUAAAAAUAACAAUGGAAAUGAAACAAGUAAGAAAUGCACCGAGACUAACUACACUGAACUAAAGAAAAUAAUGCAUCACGGAGGAAAACAAGGAAGAUGUUAUGCCAAGGAAAACAAAGCAACCAAACACUAGUGAAGUAAUAGAGAAGUAUCAACAAGAGUCACUACCGAGGUACCGUCUCGUAGUCUCAAAUUACAAAAAAAUUCACAAUCUUUCCUUAUAUAGUCGCGGGAGCCUUGUAUUUAGUUUUAAAAAUUAUUUUCUUCCCGAAAUAGCAUCCCGCGUUUUAGCCCACCUUAUCACACCGCGUGGCUUUAAGUAGUUCCCCUACUAGUAAUGCGCGUAUCAAGCUCACCUUAUCUCACAACAUGCGUUUCAACCCCAAAACCUUAUAACACCGCAUGUGUAUCAAUAUCACAAUGUAUCACAAAUCGCACCUCAAGUGCCCAAUAUUACAACUUGCCAAAGAAAUAAAUAAUAACGGUUUUUUUUUUUAUAAUAAAUAGCCCAUGACUCAACUACAAUGUACACAAGAGUCUCUACAAUAACAACUGGGAGUGAAUAACUCAAUAAGAAUAAUAUUUCACAACUUAACACAUUGCCUCAAUGUGAAUCACGGCCUUUGUAACAACUCAAUAAGAAUAAUAUUUCACAACUUAAAACAUUGCCUCAAUGUGAAUCACGGCCUUUGUAACUCAAUACCAAUUUCAACAACAAGAUAUCCCAAGAAUAACAACUCCAAGUAUAGAAUUCAACGGUUAAAUAAUGAGUAAGGAAUAGAGAAAACAAGAACUUCAACUAACAUGUAGAGCAAUUAACAAGUAAGAGAUAAGACAAGUAGAGCAUGUGAAGAUAGACUAAUGAUGACGGAUAUAACAUGUUAAGAUAACUCAAUUAAGGCAUGAAAGGAAUCUACAUAGCUAAAAUAUGUAAAUUUCUACAUUUUAGUCCGUAUACACACUCAUUACCUUGCGUACACAGCUUCCACACAUCACACUUAUCACAAACAAUACCAAUCCUAAAGAGUUAUUCCCCCACACAAAGUUAGGCAAAACACUUACCUCAAAACACGCUAACUCAAUCCACUAGUAAGUCUUUUCCUCGAUUAUCCAACUUCGAACGACUCGAAUCUAGCCAAAACAACUUCAUACCAUAAAUAUAAACUAUAGGAAACUAUUUCAAACAAUAAAGUUACGAUCUUUGCAAAGAAACAAAAAGUCAACCCAGGCUCGAAUCUUGGAACCCGACCAAAAUUAUAAAAAUCCAAACACCCAUUCGAUAAUGAGUCCAACCAUUAAAGAAAUACUCAAAUCUCCUUUCAAAACCCCAAAAUUUAGUCUAGGAAGUUUUCAUAAUUUCCCCCCAUAUUUCCAACUCAAAUCACUAAUUAGAUGAUGAAAAUAAUAAUAGAUUCAUGAAAUAUAGUCAAAUCCAGGUUAGAAUCACUUACCCCAAUAAUUUCCUUGAAAUAUUCUCGAAACAUCAUCACAAACCAAGCUCGCUCGGUCCAAAAUAUGAAAAUGAAACUCAAACCCUUGAAGACCCCUUAUCUGCCCAGCGAUCCUCGCUUCUGCGGGCCUGGGGUCGCAUAUGUGACGUCGCACUUGCGAAAAUUCCAUCGCAGGUGCGAUUCCAACUUAGGCUCUGAAGGCUAGCACCUGUGGAACCCAUAUGCGCAACCGCAUCUACGUAAGGUCAGUCGCACCUGCGCGCUCGCUUCUGUGUGCUAUUGACCGCACUUGCGGGCCCAACUGGGCAAGGCAAAACUCGCUUUUGUGGCUCGAAGGCCGCUUCUGUGGUGCCGCACCUGCGGCCCAAAGUGCGUAGGUGCGAUUACACUAGACACAACCCAUCUUCAGCAAUCACUCAAGUCCAAAUUUGAUCUGAAUCACCCGGUGCCUCCGGUACCCCGUCUGAAUAUAUCAACAAGUUUCAAAACACAUAAUGGGCCUACUCAAGGCCAAAAAUCACAUUAAACAACAUCGAUUCUAUGAAUUACAACCCAAUUCAAGCCUAUGAAACUAUGAACUUUCGAAUUCCCAAAAUAAUUCUGAUUCAUGCCAAAACAACUCUGAUUGACUUCAAACUUUGCACAUAAGUUGUAAAUGACAUGACGGACCUAUUCCAACUUCUGAAAUCGAAAACCGACCCCAAUAUCAAUAAAAUCAACUCCCAGUCACACUUUCCAAAUCUUCCAAACCUUCAACUUUUUAACUUUCGCCAAUUCACGCCGAAACGACCUACGAACCUCCAAAUCAACAUCCGGAUACAUCCCUAAGUCUAAAAUUACCAUACGGAGCUAUUGGAAAGGUCAUAACUCUAUUUUAAAGUCGUCUACACCAAACUCAACUACGGUCAACUCUUUCAACUUAAAGCUCCAACUUAGGGAUUAUAUGUCCCAUUUCACUCCGAAACUCACCCAAAAACAAAACCAAACACUCCGGCAAGUUACAUAACCGCAAUAUAACAUAGAGGAGAAAAUAAAUAAGGGAUUGGGGCUAAAAUACUCAAAAUGACAGGUCAGAUCGUUACAUCUGGUAUCGAUUAUGAAGAGACAUAUUCACCUGUUAUGGAUGCAAUAACGUUUCGUUAUCCCAUUAGUUUUGCUGUCCAUGAAAAGCUUGACAUGCAUUUAAUGGAUGUGAUUACAACCUACCUUUAUGUCUCACUUGAUAAUGAAAUAUACAUGAAAAUUCUUGAGGGAUUUAAAAUGCCUGAGGCACAUAAUUCAAAGUCCCGGGAAAUGUUUUCAAUCAAAUUGCAAAGAUCUUUGUAUGGUCUAAAGCAAUCCAGACGAAUGUGGUAUAACCAACUUAGUGAAUAUUUAUUAAAGAAAGGUUAUAUAAAUGAUGCCAUUUGUCUAUGUGUUUUCAUAAAGAAAACAACAUCGGAAUUUGUUGUACUUGAUAUAUAUUGAUGACAUAAACCUUAUUGGAACUACUAUAAAACUCCAAAAAGCAAUUGAUUAUUUAAAGAAGGAAUGCAAGAUGAAAGAUCUCGAAAAGACAAAAUAAUUUCUAUAUUUGCAAAUAGGAUUUUUGUUCAUCAAUCUGCCUAUAUAGAAAAGGCAUUGAAACGGUUUUACAUGGAUGGAGCACAUCCAUUAAGUACUCUGAUGGUUGUUCAAUCAUUUGAUGUGCAUAAGGAUCUGUUCUGACCUCAAGAAAAGAAUGAAGAGCUUCUUGGUCCUGAAGUACCAUAUCUUAGUGCAAUUGGUACACUAAUGUAUCUUGCUAAUACUACAAGGCCUGACAUAACGUUUUCAGUUAAUGUCUUAGCAAGAUAUAGCUCUGCUCCUACAAGGAGACAUUGGAAUGGAAUCAAACAUAUAUUGCGGUAUCUUAAAGGGACUACCAAUAUGGGCUUAUUUUAUGGCAAUGAUUGCAGCCCCUAUCUUGUUGGCUAUGCCGAUGCUGGGUAUUUAUCUGACCCAAAUAAGGCUCGAUCUCAAAAGGGCUAUGUGUUUACAUGUGGAGGCACUGCCAUAUCUUGGCGAUCAACUUAGCAAUCAAUUGUGUGUACUUCAUCUAAUCAUGCUGAGAUAAUUGAUAUUCAUGAAGUAAGUCAAGAAUGUGUAUGGUUGAGGUCUAUAAUACAUCUUAUUCGAGACAAAUGUAGUUUGAAGUGUGAUAAAGUACCCAUGAUUUUGUAUGAAGACAAUGCAGCAUGCAUAACCCAAUUGAAAGGAGGAUUCAUAAAAGGCGAUUGGACAAAGCACAUUUCACCAAUAUUAUUUUUCACACAUGAUCUUCAAAAGAAUGGUGAUAUCAAUGUGCAACAGAUUCGUUCAAGUGAUAAUAUGGCUGAUUUGUUCACCAAAUCUUUACCGACAUCAACCUUCGAGAAGCUAGCGUACAAGAUUGGGAUGCGAAGGUUCAAAGAUGUGAAUUGAUGCUCUCAUCAGGGGGAGUUAAUAUCCGUUGUACUCUUUUUCCCUUACAAGGUUUUGUCCCAAUUGAUUUUCCUUGCAAGGUUUUUAACGAGGCAACCAAAAGGCGUAUUUCUAAACAUGUGUACUCUUUUUAUUUCACUAGAACUUUUUUCCACUGGGUUUUAUUUUAGUUAAGGUUUUAACGAGGCAUAUUAUCUGUUGAAUAGACUUUCAAAGGGGGGGGAGGGGGUUCUAUCAAUAGAAUUAUAUUUAAGGUGAAUGUCUAUAUUUUAGAUAGAUUUUUGGGUUUGUUACUUGGUGUCUAAAUCACUUUUUUCCUAUAAAUAGAGGGGUUCUAUUCCAUUGUAAUUCAUCCCAAAAUAAAUAAGAAUUCUCUCUCUCUUUGCUCUGCAAUUUUCUUUUUUUCCUUUAUUGAUUUAUUUCAAUUUUUAAAUUUUUCUUGAAUGGUCUUUUGUCAAUUUAAUUAUCUUGCACGAACUUAUAAAAAGGAGAACUUUCAUUCUAGCUAGUUCCACUCCCAAAUAAAACUCUUCGAUGCCAAGGUAUGGAGCAACACAAGUAUAUAUAUAGGAAUAAAAGGGGAUUUAUCCAAACAAAAUAGGUUAGGAUGACUUCAAACCUCGCAAUAAGGGUUCUUGUAUUAAGGUUUUCACUAUUACCAUGCUUAUGUCCAACUCUAUGAUGUUCUGCAUUUACCCUUAAAUCAGAUAACAAUCAAAUUUACACGCGGUUUUAAGGAUAUAUGGAUUGAUUUAACACAAAUAAUCAAGAAUAUUAGAUAAAUGAGUCAAAGACAAAAUGAUUGAUCAAACUAGUUGUAAUGUUACGUCCUAGCCUGAACCUAGAUAAAACAGUAGUUUGCCCAUGAUCGGACCCUUGGUUCGAACCCAAUCGUGAAUGAAGAACAAAAAGUUUAGUAAGAACUUGUGCAGUAGCUAGAAAUCGGAAAAUGAAUUUUUAUUGCCUUGAUUCGCGUGUCACCAUGUGCCUCAAAAGAAAAAAUCUCCCCAUUAUAUAGUAGGAGAGUUUCAUCCCUAGUACAAGUCUAAAAAAGAUAAAAAAAAAACUUCCUUUCUCGUUAAUUACUGAUCCGUAACGGACAUCGAGUGAGAUUCGCGCCGUGAUAUCCGGUCAGGUGCAAAUAUUAAGGAUGACCCUUUAUCCGUCAUGUGUAACCGUUUACUGUAUUUCUCGAGGUUUUAGAACUCGUUAUGAGUUCGAGGAGCGUUGCUUUAUCACGCCCGGUAAGGAACACAUCGUUCUUCUUUCGUGGGUCUCGAUACGAAAGGUUCUCGUCCUCGAUUUCAGUCUCGUGCGUCCAUGCCCUUCUUCUAUUUUCUUCACCGGGAAGUCAGGGUAUGCUCUACCCCCAAGUUUGAACCUUCAUACCUUCGUACCAUCUUCAUAGUUUUCUUCAGACCUAUAUUUUACAAAUUAUAAUGGCAAAAACUUCCAAGUCAGUGCCUCAACAGGUUGCCCCUUCAUCUUCCCACCAGGCCGCAGAUGCCGAAGUGGCCGUUUUCGAGGUGGCUUAGGAGCCCCCCAAGAAGAGAUUUGUACUCGGGGGCUGCUCUAUCGGGGAUGACUUCAAGGUCUAGAAGGCCUCUAGCCAACAAGACCGAAGUGCGAGGGCAUGGAGAUACAUAUGCUCCGUUACCUAAAACACCCUACCCGUAGUCUGAGCGGACUAUAAAUGGGAGGGUAAGUACGUGGUCGUUCCCGAGCCCGAUGACGAUAUUACCACUCACAUGAAGAUGGUAUCUGAGUAUUACACUUACCCUUUCACGCUCGCCUGGUGGAUCCCAUAGUCCUUCCUUUCUUCAAAAGGUACGAGGUGUGCCUUGGGAAAAUCCACCCGUCCUUCUCGAGGACCGUGAUCCUCUUACACCAUUUUGUGAAUGACACUGAAUCCUCUCCGUUCACCCUCGACCAUCUACUUUGCCUAUACAAUCCCUGGAUCUUCCGAGAGGGACUGAUCAAUCUCGUUCGCCGAGUAAGCAAGGCUCCUUUUUCGAGCUUCGAGGAGAACCGAGACCGAGACUGGCAGGGGAGGUUCGUUCGGGUGAAACCCGAAGACCUAAUUCCCCCCGAGUUUCUGUCAUUCCCCGAGGAGUGGAACACAUCCCGUAAGUAUUGUCUUUCUUGGGUAUUUCUUUCUUUUUAUAAUUUCUCUCAUUGCCUGUGUUUGUGGUUGUGUAGUUGUUGCCCAAGUUCUUGAUGCAACCCCCGGUUCUGAGCGCGCAUGGCGCAAACUUUCGAAUGGCAAAUAAGAUGUCCGUUCUCAUGGUGAGGUUCUUUCCUGAAUAGUAAUCCCCACACUUUUAACUUACACAGUGCUAACACUUUCUCUUUCUUACUGAACUCAAGCCGUUGGAUGAGGACGAGGAUCCGUCCUUGCUUGCCCGAGCCCUCCGUUUUGGGGCACCCCGGGGCUUCCGCGAAGAAGGAGAAGAAGAAGAAAAAGAGAAAGUCCUCGGGUUCCAGACCCUGAGGUGAAGAGGAAUAAGAGAGCGGCCACCCAAGUCCGAAAGCCAAAGAAGAGCACCAAGUCUAGGGUAUUGGACCCUGACUCUCUCUACCGGCUCAGGGAUGAGCCUGAAGAAGACGACCUCUUCAUUGCUCAUGGGUCUACCCUUAAUAAGGGGUAGCAGGAGACGAUCGAGAAAGAGGACUAUGAGGUCGAUCCCCCUCUAACUCAGGAACCUGAGGGGGAAAUGGAGGUUGCGUCCUCUCAGAAAGCCUCUCUUGUUCCGAAGGAGGCAAACGGUGUCAUUGACAUCGUGAAGACGCCCUCCUAUACCGAGUCCAUGCUCGAAGAGGCCCAAGCGAGCAAAGAAAAGUCAUGUGAGGGAGCACAGGGUCCAAAUGAUACCCUCAAUACAUUUUUCGACGGCAUGGCCAUGGCCGCACUGGAGGAUUUUCCGGGCUUUGUCAUUUGGAGGUCCCGAAAAAGGAUGUGCCUUCGGGAUCUGGCGAGUCGAGUUCAAUCCCUAAACUAGUGAAGUAAUUUCCCGCUUCGAGCGUGGACCCCGAAUGCAAAGGAAAGGUCAUUCUCACAAUCACGGGGGAUGCUGGGUCCUGUUUGCUCCAGUGGGCGUAGCCAGCUACCUCUGAUUCCUGGUGACCGAGGAGGAUCAGGCAAAGAUGUAUAAGGUAGGCACAUCAAGUCUCUUCAACAAGGCGCAACAGGCGUUGAAUCGAGUAAGGCGUUAACCCUUUUGUAUCCCUUUGUGAAUCCCACUUAGGUUUUUGAUGUCCCCUACUAAUUUCAUUAUUUUAUAAUCUUCAGUGCUUCACCACAAAAGCUUCCUCCGGUACCGCUUAGAGAUUAGCCAUCUCGAGUUCGAGCUCAAAGAGCAGGUCUGGAAGAAGGACAUGUAUAGGGCUCUUAGUGAGCAACAGGACGAAGCCCUUAAAUACCUCCCGAUUCUCGAGGCCGAGCUAGAAAAAGCUCAGAAGGAGGCCUCGACCCUGAAGCGGGAACAUGCCGACCUGGUUGAGAUGGUAAAGAUCUUUGAAUCUAAAAAUGACCAGCUGGUCAUAGUGACUAACAACACAACUUUGCAGGUCCAAUAAAAGAUAGACCUGAUCGACCAGCUGCGGGCUGAGAUGGACGAGGUCAAGGCCACGACCGAAGUGCCGAAGGGUAGGAUGGACCUUUUGGCUUCAGAGAAGGAAGCUGCAAAAGCGAAGCUGGCGUCGGUCGAGAACUAAAUUUGGGUGGCAAAGGAUAAAGCAGAUAAGUGGUCUCGACUGAAUGAUGACCUCCGAGCACAGCUGAGCUCGGCCGUCACGGAACGGGAUGCUCUCGGAAGCAAAUAUGCGGCACUGAGGUCCAAAUUGGAUACAACCUCUAUUAAUCCCGAGGAAAUAGUACAAGGCUGAUGUGGAAGCGGCUGAGACCCACUUAAAGACGAGACUAAAAACAUAAAGAGGCUAUCCUAGAGAGAGACCCUCAAAGAGAUCCAUGCCCGAGGUUUUGAUCUAUCGCAUGAGAUUAAAGAAGCUAGGAGACUCGAGUCUGAGGCAAAGGAGCUCUAUGAGCCUGAGGGUUCCGAAGGCUCCGAGGGUUAUGAGGGCUCUGAGGGUUCUAACGGUUCUGGUGAAGAGCAGGCGUAGAUGCCUUAGUAUUUUUCUAGUUUUUUUUUCUUAUUUAUUUUUUUAUUUAUUUUGAGGCCGCUCUAUCGGGCCUUUGUAAAUAUAUUUUGGAAUAUAUAUAAAACUUUUCCCUUUCCGGUAAUAUCGUGCCUUCACUUUUCCAGCAUUUUCUUACAAUUUUUAUUCGUGUAUUAUUUUUGAUGCCUUAGCAUAUAAUCAGAUGUAGUUCUGGGGCAUUCAUUUUUGGAGGUUCGAACGAAACUCGACUUCAAUGCAACUUUGUUUUCUUGCGCCUUCGAACCCUGGGUGAGAUCGAAGAUUUUCAAGAUGCUUAAGUGUUUUUAGAUUAUGUUUUUUGCCGAGGGUAACCUUUUAGUAGGUUUUUAAUUUUCGUAAGGGCCUUACUUUAUGGUUACGGACUUCAGACGUCUCCGAGCCGUUUUUAGGGUGGUCGUAGUCUUUUAUAUUUUUGCACCGCCUAAUAGGUUUGGUGCCUCCGGGAUUUGGUAGCCCGGGUCAUCUGAAUUUUCAUCGGGCGAUAGUCCCCGAGUAGGGGUAGCCCGUGGUCUCGAUAGUUCCCAGGUAUGGGUAGCCCGUGGGCUCGAUAGGCCCUGAGUGGGGGUAGCCCAUAGGCUUUAGGAUACGGGAUCGAAGAAAAAAAAUGCGCAGUAACAAAGUGUAAGAGAAAUGGAAAUUCCUUUCAUUUCUUAGUGUGCAAGGUACACGAUCGAAAGUGCAUAAAACUUGUGCCAUGGCUAGAGUGGACUAUGGUGGCACAGUUCAUACGACCGUUUGACCCUUACAAUGAAUCCUAACCACUAAGCCUUAGCUUUUCGCACAUAAAGUUUCCUUGCUAAAGACUUAAUCUGAGGUCGAACUCGUGAGGGCUCAGAUACUAUUGACUCGAAGCAAAUGAUCAUUGAUUCUGAUUUGAAACCGGUCUUCAAAUCUAAGGUAGCACGUUUUACUUUUGCCUCGUUAAAAACCUUGCCGAAAAUCCCAUUUCGUGACAAAAUCGGUUCAAGGGAAAAAGAGUACAACACGUGCUUUCAGACCUAGCAGCCACAUUCGUCCUUAGUCGAUUACCUGCAUAGGUUAGUCCGAUUUAUAACAUGAUUAAAAGGUAAUUGAUUUUGUACCUUAGUAGUAGUAGCGAUUUAAGUGUGUCACAUUCCAGUUGUUCGAUAAUUGUAUGGCAUUUUUCGCUUCGAGUUUAUAUGAGCCUCUGCCGGUUAUUCCGAUAACUCGAUACGAUCCUUCCCAGUUCGGUCCCAGCUUUCCUUCGUUCGGGUUCCUGGUGUGUAAUCUUACUUUCCUCAACACCAUGUCCCUGACUUGAAAGUGUCGGAGGCUGGCUCUUCGGUUGUAAUACCUUUCUAUCUGCUGUUUCUGGGUGGCCAACCGGACCAGGGCGGCCUCCCGCCUUUCAUCCAAUAGUUCCAGGCUCAUGAUCUUUGCUUCGCCGUUUGCCUCUUCCAUCGCAUACUAAAACCUGAGGCUCGGUUCUCCCUCCUCGACUGGUAUUAAGGCUUCGGCUUGAUAGACCAAGGAAAACAGGGUGGCCCCGGUGCUAGACUUUGAAGUCAUACGGUAUGACCACAGGUUUUCGGACAAGAUCUCCUUCCAUUUACCUUUCGCACUGGUCAACCUCUUUUUCAGGUUUUGAAGUAUGGUCUCGUUUGUUAAUUCUGCCUACCCGUUCCCACUAGAGUGAUAAGGCGUUGAUAGUAUCUUCUUAAUCUUGUGAUAUUCGAAAAUCUAUUCACCUUACUGCCGACGAAUUGCAUUCCAUUGUCGCAAAUGAUCUCGUCCAAUAUCUCAAAUUGACAUAUUAUGUGGUCACAGAUAAAGUCAAUUACUUCUUUCUCUCGGACCUUUUUGAAUGCUUGAGCCUCAACCCAUUUGGAAAAAUAAUCGGUCAUGAAUAGUAUGAACUGAGAUUUAUCGCGUGCCCAAGUCAUGGGACCGACGAUGUCCAUUCCCUACUUUAUAAAUGGCCACGGGGACAAGACCGAGUAGAGCAUUUCUCCCAGUUGAUGGAUCAUCGGGGCGUGUCUUUGGCAGUCGUCGCAUUUCCAUAUGAAGCCUUUUGUAUCUUUAUCCAUUUUGGUCUAGUAAUAACCGGCCCUAAUUAGUUUCUGAACCAAAGAUUCUGCCACCGAAUGGUUCCCGCAAGCGCCUUCAUGAACUUUUGUCAUGGCGUAUUCGGUCUCUCCUGGUCCUAACCAUCUAGCCAGCGGGCCGUCAAAGGUUCUCCUGAACAAUGCCCCUUCUACCAAGCUAAAUCUGGCAGCCUUAGUGCGCAUGGCCCUCGAUUCUUUGGGAUCCGAAGGCAAUUUUUCGGUCUUCAAUAGUCUAUGUAUUUGCUCCUCCAAUCCCAAGUUAAACUCAUUGAGUUUACUUCGGCAUGGACUUCUUUUAUCACCAACUUCAUUAGCUACACUACUGUUCCCAAAUUGAAUUCAUCGGCAUCGACCAACGAUCCCAAGUUAGCUAGUACAUCGGCCUCGUUGUUCUGAUAUCGGGGUACGUGCUGCAGAGUCCAUUCCCUGAAUUGAUGCAGGGUUACCUGCAAUUUGACCAAGUACCUUCACAUCCAUUCUUCUUUUACUUUGGACGUCCCACUAACUUGAUUUACCACGAUGAGGGAGUCGCACUUAUCUUCUAUCACCUCGGCCCCAAGGCUUUUAGCCAAUUCUAGACCUGCAAUCAUGGCCUGAUACUCGGCCUCAUUGUUAUUCAAUUUCACAGUUCUAAUAGAUUGCCUAACUAUAUUUCCCGUAGGUAUUUUUAAUACGAUGCCGAGCUCGGACCUUUUUGGGUUUGAGGCACCGUCCGUGAAAAGGGUCCAGAUUCCCGAAAUGGUCCCCAAGGUUAACACUAAUUCCUUUUCGACUUCGGAUAUUAAGGCCAGCGUAAAGUCGGCCACAAAGUCUGCAAAAAUCUAAGAUUUUAUGGUGGUUCGGGGUCGAUACUCGAUAUCGUACCCGCUAAUUUUGACGGCCCAUUUGGCCAAUCAGUCCGAGAGCUCGGGUUUGUGCAUGACAUUCCUUAGCGUGUAAGAGGUCACGACAUAUAUGGGGUGGCAUUGAAAGUACGACUUUAGCUUUCUAUAGGCUCUUAGCAAAGCGAGCGUCAAUUUUUCCAUGUGACGAUACCUUGAUUCGGCCUCGCCUAGAGUUCUACUGACAUAGUAAAUAGGAAAUUGUGUACCCUCUUCCUCCCAGACUACGACUCCACUUACCGCCACCUCGAAACUGCCAAGUAGAGGUACAGUUAUUCAUCUGCCUAUGCAGUGUGCAGCAGUGGCGCACUCGGUAGGUACCGUUUGAGCUCUUCCAAAGCUUGCUGGCAUUCUAGGGUCUAGGAAAAGUUAUUCUUUUUCUUUAAUAGUGAGAAGAUCCGUUGGCUUUUGUCCGAGGACCUUGAUAUGAACCUGCCCAGGGCGGCUAUAUGCCCGGUCAAUCUUUGAACGGCCUUGACGUUGUCCACCAUGGUGAUGUCCUCUAUGGCUUUGAUUUUGUCGGGGUUGAUCUCGAUCCCUCGAUUGGAUACAUGAACUAGAGGAAUUUUUCCGAGCCGACCCCGAACGCGUACUUCUCCAGGUUCAGCUUUAUAUUGUUUUUCUUCAGUACGUCGAAGGUCUCCUACAAAUGUUUCAAAUGGUCCUCUGCUCGCAGGGACUUGACUAACAUAUCGUCAAUAUAAACUUCUAUUGAUUUUCCUAUAUGUUCUUCGAAUAUCCAGUUUACUAGGCGUUGAUAGGCGGCACCGGUGUUCUUUAAUCCAAACGGCAUUACAUUAUAAUACUAGGUUCCAAAUUUAGUGAUGAAAGAAGUAUUUUAUUGAUCGUUCGGGUCCAUCCGAAUUUGGUUGUACUCGGAAUAGGCAUCGAGAAAGAUGAGUAUCUCAUGUCCGGUCGUCGCGUUGAUCAUCUGAUCGAUGUUAGGCAAAGAGAAAGAAUCCUUAGGGCAUGCAUUGUUUAGAUUUUUGUAAUUUAUAUGCAUUCUUAGAUUAUUCUCUUUUUUAGGCACUACCACUAUAUUAGCUAACCAGUCCGGGUAUUUAACUUCCCGGAUGGACCAUAUUUUAAGGAGUUUGGAUACCUCGUCCUUGAUGAACACAUGCUUGACCUCGGACUGCGGUCUCCUCUUCUGCUUAACCAGAUGGAACUUUGGGUCCAAACUAAGCUUAUGAGUGGUUACCUCCGGUGGGAUCCCUGUCAUGUCAAGAUAGGACCAAGCGAAACAAUCUAUGUUAGCGUUAAGAAAAUCAAUGAGUUUUUUCCUGAGCUCGGGUGUUAAUCACGUGCCCAGGUAUACCUUUUGAUCUAGUAGGUGUUCGAUCAAUAUGACUUUCUCCAACUCUUCGACCUUCGAUUUGGUGGCGUCAGUGUCAUCAGGAGCUAUGAACGAUCUCGGGACUCCGUAAUCAUCUUCCUCGUCUAUUCCUCGUUCCUCCGAUUCGAUCCAGUCUGGUAUCAGUGAUUGCUAUUUAAUUUCUUCCUUUCUGGUCGGCUCUGCAUUCCUUGAUGUUGAAACUGCGGGCACAGGGAUUACCUCGCCAACUGUGAACAUCUCAUUUGCGACCGGGUGCUCUCCAUAGACCGUCUUGACUCCUCUCGAUAUAGGGAAUUUCAACGCCUGGCGCAAUGUCGAGGGUACCGCCCUCAUGUUGUGAACCCACGGCCUUCCGAAUAGAGCGUUAUACCUCAUGUGCCCUUCGAUCAUGUAGAACAUUGUCUCUUGGAUCGUCCCGGCGGUGUUCACCGGUAGGGUUAUCUCUCCUUUAGCAGUUUCACAUGCCAUGUUAAAUUCAUUCAACACCCUGACUGAUGGCACUAUUUGUCCUGUAGCCCCAAUUGCUCUACGACCCUUGAUCUGAUGAUGUUGGCCAAGAUACCUGGAUCGACCGACACACAUUUAACUCGAGAUUUAUUGAUAAGUACGGAUAUUACUAGCGCAUCAUUGUGAGGUUACACGAUGCCUUCGCCAUCCUCGUCAUUGAACAAAAUGGUUCCCUCCGGGACAUAAUCUCGGGUGCAUUUUUCCCUUGUGAUAUACACUUUAGUGUGCUUUAUCAUUGGCCCUUGGGGGACAUCGACCCCUCCGAUGAUCAUGUUCAUGAUUUGCUGAGGCUCCUCUUAUUUGACCUGUUUGUUGGUAUCCUUAUUCCUGAAGUGGUUUUUGGAAAGAUCACUCAGAAACUCUCAGAAGUGCCCGUUGUUGAACAACCGGGCAACUUCUUCUCUCAAUUGUCGGCAAUCCUUGGUCAUGUGACCAUGAGUGCCGUGAUACUUACAUAUAAAGUUAGGAUCUCUUUGGGUAGGGUCAGACUACAAUGGUCGGGGCCACUUGGUCUCUUUGAUGCGCCCGAUGGUUGAUACGAUGCUGGCAGCAUCAACGCUGAAGUUAUACUUUGAUAAUCUCGGUGUUUCCCAGCUCCCGAGCGUCCUGUCAAAACCAUUUUUGCUCAUCAGACCUCGGCUACUGGGCCCUCAAUCGCCUCUCUUUUCGUUCCUUGUGGGAUGAUGCCCAGACCCAUUUCCCCUUCGCUCCAUGCUGUAUGGUUGGUACCUAUCCCGGACCAGCCUUGACUCGUGAUCAACGGCUCUGUUAGACCUAUCGUCGGCCAUGAGAGGAUAAACUGACCCAGAAGGGGCUCUGAGUUGGUCGUCCUCGACCCUGAGCUUCGACUUGUACAUGUUGUGGAUGUCAGCCCAAGUCACCGUCGGGUACUCUACCAAAUUUUAUUUUAGCUGCUGUGAAGCCAAGGAGCUUCGGGGGUUAAGCCCCUGAGUGAAUGCCGAAACAACCUUAUCAUCUGCGACCAGAGGCAGGUCCAUCCAUUCCAUCUGGAACCUUGACACGAACUCCCUGAAUAUCUCAAUGUCUCUUUAUUUAACCUUGAAAAGGUUAGAGACUUUUUGGUCUCGACCUUGAUGGCCCCGACAUGGGCCUUCACGAAAGCAUCUGCAAGCAUAGCAAACAAGUCAAUGGAAUUUGGGAGUAAGUUGUGAUACCAUAUCAUCGCUCCUUUGGACAAAGUCUCCCCAAACUUCUUCAGUAUCAGUGACUCAAUUUCAUCAUCUUCCAAGUUAUUCCCAUUGAUUGUGUAUGUAUAGUAGGUCACAUGCUCAUUCGGAUCCGUGGUUCCGUUAUAUUUUGGGAUAUCGGGCAUACAAAAUCUCUUUGGGAUAAAUUUCUUGGAAUCCGGCCCUUCCAAUAUCGGGGGUGCUCCGGGGAUUUGAUCAACCCAAGAGUUGCAUGUUUCCACCUUUUUGUCAUUGGCCUCAAUUUUCUUCUAACCUGACUCUACCCGCUUCGUUAAUGUUUCACCCGGUCUCAUUAUUUCAGGAUUGAACCCAGGCUCAGCUUCACCCGAUCUCUCGGUGAUUUGUUCGUUUCUUUGAAUGUUUUCCCAGGAUUGCUCGGGCUUAACCCUGCUGGGGGCGUGUCUUUGAUUCUGUAGUUGCGCUAUGAACGUUCUUUUCGGGAUCAGUUGGCAGAUUGACUUUGAUGGCCACCUGUGAGUUAACAUCGACCAGAUCAGCAACUAGGACUCUGUUUGGAUCAGCAAGAGGCACCUCGUUGCUAGCACCAGAUUAUUGUUUUCUCCAUGAUGGUCAAACUUAGCGUCAACGUUCAAGUGGGCAGACUGAGCAUUUUGACAUUUUUAAGCUGACCUGAAAUUAAGACUUUAAAGAACAAGCAUAAAAUAGAGUGUGUUAUGGCGAUUUAUAUCCCCCACGGUGGGCGCCAAACUGUUUACCCUUAAAUCGGAUAACAAUUAAAUUUGUAUGCGAUUUUAAGGAUAUGUGGAUUGAUUCAACACAAAUAAUUAAGAAUAUUAGAUAAAUGAUUUAAAGACAAAAUGAAUGACCAAACCAAUUGUAAUGCUACGUCCUAGACUGAACCUAUAUAGAACAACAGUUUGCCCUCAAUCGUACCCUUGGUUCGAACCCAAUUGUGAAUGAAGAACAAAAUAGUUAAGUAAAAACUUUUGCAGUAGCUAGAAAGCGGAAAAUGAAUUUGUAUUUCCUUGAUUUGUGUGUUACCAUGUGUCUCAAAAGAAUAAACCUCCCCUUUAUAUAGUAGGAGGGUUUCAUCCCUAGUACAAGUCUAAAAAAGGUAAAAUUCUUCCUUUCUCGUUUAUUACUGAUCCGUAACCAACAUCGAGUGAGAUCCGCGUCGUGAUAUCCGGUCAGGUGCGAAUAUCACGGCCCUUUAUCCAUCGUGUAUAAUAAUUUACAGUGUUUUCCGAGGUUUUAGAUUUCGUUCUGGGUCCGGGGCACUCCUUAAGAAAACCCCGUGCAUCCUCUGAAGCUAAACCGCUGAAAGUAGGAGGGUGGUACUUAUUGUACCUCUCGAGCCUGAUCUGCUCCUCCUCAGAUUCUGUUGCCCUAACCUCAGGCUGAAUUGGGACAAGCGGCUGCACUGGUAUGACCUCUGGGACCUGGUCAACCUGGACCCGCUGCUCUGGGGUACGGGCUGCGGGAGUCUAUGCACUUUCCCCGGACUGAGAUGUGGCAGGAGCAAGUGGCAUCAACCCUGCUUGAGCUAGAGUGCCAAACAUGCUUAAAAACUGGGCGAGAGUCUCCUGAAGUGCAGGGUAGUAACAUGCGUCUUAGGUGCCUGCUCUCCAACUGGAGCUAUUGGUGGCUUUUUUGUAGCAGCUCGGGCAGGUGCUCUGGCUACACUGCAUGUCCGUCCUCAGCCUCUGCCCUAGCCCCGGCCUCUCGCGGCUCUAGCAGGAGGCGCGGGUGUCUUAUCAUCAUAUCCAGUUGUGCGUGUCCUCACCAUCUGUGAGAGAAUAGAAAGACAGAGAUUUAGAAUUUCGAAGUCAACAAAUUCGCACGAUAAGGAAUCAAAGAAGUGGAGCUUUUACUAAUAGUUCCAUAGCCUCCCUAAGAUAAGUACAAACGUCUCCGUACCGAUCAGCGAGACUCUACUAGACCUGCUUGUGACUCAUAUCACCUAUGAACCUAGAGCUCUGAUACUAACUUGUCACGACCCCAAUUUUUCUCCUUAGGAUGUCGUGAUGGCACCUAGUCUCUAAGACUAAGUAAGCCUAACAUUCAUGCAGAAUAUAACAAAAAUAAUAAUAAUUAAAGUCUCAAUAGCUCAAUAACUAGUACAAAAUAAACUCUGCAACUCAUUAUAUACAACUUCCCAAAACUCGGUGAUAAUAAAUCGCAAGCUCUACGAAUAAGUACUGGUCAUCCCUAUACAACGAUGUGUCUACAAAGGAAGAAAUGUAAUAAACUAGAUAGAGGGGGACUUUGAGGCCUGCAGACGCCGGCAGGUAUACUUUGAAGUCUCCAAAGCUGAACUCAUCUCGCUAAUGCCUGGACUGGUAGGAGGUACCUGGAUCUGCACAAAAAGAUGUGCAAAUGCGUAGCAUAAAUAUACCACAACGGUACACAGUAAAUGCCAAGCCUAACCUCGGUAGAGUAGUGACAAGGUCAGGUCAAGACCCUACUAGAAUAAAUAAGAAAUAGAACGAGUACUUAACAGUGUAAUAAUAAUAACAAAGGAAAUGAAACAAGUAAAAAAUGUACCGAGAUUAACUACACUGAACUAAGGCAAGUAAUGCAUCACAGAGGAAAACAAGGAAGAUGUUAUGCCAAGGAAAAUAAAGCAACCAAACACAAGUGAAGUAAUAGAGAAGUAUCAACAAGAGUCACUACCGAGGUACCGCCUCGUAGUCUCAAAUCAUAAAAUAAUUCACAAUCUUUUCUUAUAUCACCGCGGGAGCCUUGUAUUUAGUUUUGAAAAUCAUAUUCUUCCCAAAAUAGUAUCUCGCGUUUUAGCCCACCUUAUCACACCGCAUGGNNNNNNNNNNNNACAACUUAACACUUUGCCUCAAUGUGAACCACGACCUUUGUAACUCAAUACCAAUUUCAACUAUAAGAUAUCCCAAGAAUAACAACUCCAAGUAAAGAAUUCAACCAUUAAAUAAUAAGUAAGGAAUAGAGGAAACAAGAAUUUCAACUAACAUGUAGAGCAAUUAACAAGUAAGAGAUAAGACAAGUAGAGCAUGUGAAGAUAGACUAAUGAUGACGGAUAUAACAUGUUAAGAUAACUCAAUUAAGGCAUGAAAGGAAUCUAUAUAGCUAAAAUCGGUAAAUUUCCAUAUUUAGCCCGUUUAAACACUCGUCACCUGGCGUACAUGAAUUUUACACAUCACAAUUAUCACAAACAACACCAAUCCUUAGUGGUAAUUCUCCCACACAAAGUUAGGCAAGACAUUUACCUCAAAACACGCUAACUCAAUCCACUAGUAAGCCUUUCCCUCGAUUAUCCAACUCCGAACGACUCGAAUUUAGCAAAAACAACUCCAUACCAUAAAUAUAAACUAUAGGAAAUUAUUUCGAAGAAUAAAGUUAUGAUCUUUGCAAAGAAAUAAAAAGUCAACUCAAAAAGUCAACCCAGGCUCGCAUCCCUGAACUGGACCAAAAUUACAAAAAUUCGAACACUCAUUCGUUAACAAGUCCAACCAAACAAGAAUUACUCAAAUCUUACCUCAAAUCGCCUUCCAAAACCCCAAAACUUAGUCUUGGAAGUUUUCACAAUUUUUCCCCAAAUUUCCAACUCAAAUCACUAAUUAGAUGAUAAAAAUAAUAAUAAAUUCAUGAAAUAUAGUGAAAUCCGGGUUAGAAUAACUUACCCCAAUGAUUUCCUUGAAACACUCUCGAAACAUCGCCAUAAACCGAGCUCUCUAGGUCCAAAAUAUGAAAAUGAAAGUCAAAUCUUCGAAGACUUUAUCUGCCCAGUGAUCCUCGUUUCUUUGGGCCUGGGGUCGCAUCUGCGACGCCGCACCUGCGGAAAAUCCAUCGCAGGCAUGGUUCCAACUUAGGCUCUAAAUGCUCGCACCUGCGGAACCCAUAUGCGCAUAUGUGCAACCGCAUCUGCGGAAGGCCAGUCGCACCUGCGCGCUAUUGACCGCACCUGCAGUCCUAGCAGGGCAAGGCCAAACUCGCUUCUGCAGCUCGAAGGCCGCUUCUUUGGUGCCUCACCUGCGGCCCAAAGUGCGCAAGUGCGAUUGCACCAGACACAGCCCAGCUUCAGCAAUCACACAGUCCAAAUUUGAUUUGGAUUCAACCCGAAUCACACUCGCCCCCCCCCCCCCCCUCCCCCCACUCCGAGACCCGUCUGAAUGUACCAACAAGUUCCAAAAUACAUAACGUACCUACGCGAUGCCAAAAAUCACAUCAAACAACAUCGAUUCUACGAAUCGCAACCCAAUUCAAGCCUAUGAAUCUAUGAACUACCGAAUUCCAAAUCUAAUGUCGAUUCAUAGCAAAAUAACUCCGAUUGACUUCAAACUUUGCACACAAGUCAUAAAUACAUGACAGACCUAUUCCAACUUUCAAAAUUGUAAACCGAUCCCGAUAUCAAUAAAGUCAACUCCCGAUCAAACUUUCUGAAUCUUCCAAACCUUCAACUUUCUAACUUUCGUCAAUUCACACCGAAAUGACCUACGGACCUCCAAAUCAACAUCUGGACACGUUCCUAAGUCUAAAUUCACCAUACGGGGCUAUUGGAACUGUCAAAACUCCAUUCCGGAGUUGUCUAAACCAAAGUCAACUAUGGUCAACUCUUUCAACUUAAAGUUUUAACUUUUGGACUAUAUGUCCCACUUCACUCCAAAACUCACCCCAAGUACCCCAGUAAGUUACAUAACCGCAAUAUAAUAUAGAUAAGGCAAUAAGUAGGGUAUCGGGACUAAAAUACUUAAAACGACCGGCCCGGUCAUUACACCUGGUGUCGAUUAUGAAGAGACAAAUUCACCUGUUAUGGAUGCAGUAACAUUUCAUUAUCUCAUUAGUUUUGCUGUCCACGAAAAGCUUGACAUGUAUUUAAUGGAUGUGGUUACAGUCUACCUUUAUGGAUCACUUGAUAAUGAGAUAUACAUGAAAAUUCCCGAGUGAAUUAAAAUACCUGAGGCACAAAAUUCAAAGUUCCGAGAAAUGUUUUCAAUAAAAUUGCAAAGAUCUUUGUAUGGUCUAAAGCAAUCAGGACGAAUAUGGUAUAACCAACUUAGUGAAUAUUUAUUAAAGAAAGGGUUAUGUAAAUGAUGCCAUUUGUCCAUGUGUUCUUAUAAAGAAAACAACAUCGAAAUUUGUUGUACUUGCCGUAUAUGUGGAUGACAUAGAACUUAUUGGAACUCCUAUAAAACUCCAACAGGUAAUUGAUUAUUUAAAGAAGGAAUUCAAGAUGAAAGAUCUUGGAAAGACAAAAUUAUGUCUCGGUUUGCAAAUUGAAUAUUUGGCAAAUGGGAUUUUUGUUCAUUAAUUUGCCUACAUAGAAAAUAUAUUGAAACGGUUUUACAUGGAUGGAGCACAUCCAUUAAGUACUCCGAUGGUUGUUCGAUCAUUUGAUGUGAAUAAGGAUAUGUUCCGACCUCAAGAAAAGAAUAAAGAACUUCUUGGUCCUGAAGUACCAUAUCAUAGUGUAAUUGGUGCACUAAUGUAUCUUGCUAAUACUACAAGGCCUGGCAUAACUUUUUCAGUUAAUGUCUUAGCAAGAUAUAGCUCUGCUCCUACAAGGAGACAUUCGAAUGGAAUCAAAUACAUAUUGCGGUAUCUAAAAGGGACUACUGAUAUGGGCUUAUUUUAUGGCAAUGAUUUCAGUCCCGAUCUUGGUUGGCUAUGUCGAUGCUGGAAUUUAUCUGACCCACACAAGGCUUGAUCUCAAAAAGGAUAUGGGCUUACAUGUGGAGGCACUGUUAUAUCUUGGCGAUUGACUAAGCAAUCAACCAUGGCUACUUCAUCUAAUCAUGCUGAGAUAAUUGCUAUUCAUGAAGCACGUCGAUAAUGUGUAUGGUUGAGGUCUAUAAUACAUCUUAUUCGAGACAAAUGUGGUUUUGAAGUAUGAAAAAGUGUACCCACGAUUUCUUAUGAAGACUAUACAGGAUGCGUAGUCCAAUUGAAGGGAGGAUUCAUAAAAGGAGAUAGGACAAAACACAUUUCACCAAAGUUAUUUUUCACACAUGAUCUUCAAAAAAAUAGUGAUAUCAAUGUGCAGCAGAUUCGUUCAAGUGAUAAUAUGGCUGAUUUGUUCACCAAAUCUCUACCGACGUCAACCUUCAAGAAGCUAGCGUACAAGAUUGGGAUGCGAAGGCUCAAAUAUGUGAAUUGAUGCUCUUAUCAGGGGGAGUUAAUACGCGUUGUACUCUUUUUUCCUUACAUACGCGUUGUACUCCUUUUCUCUUACAAGGUUUUGUCCCAAUAGGUUUUCCUUGUAAGACUUUUAACGAGGCAACCAAAAGGCGUAUUUCUAAACAUGUGUACUCUUUUUCUUUCACUAGAAUUUUUUUCCACUGGUUUUAUUUUAAUUAAGAUUUUAACGAGGCAUAUUAUCUGUUGAAUAGACAUUGAAGAGGGUGUAUUAUAAAUAGAAUUGUAUUUACGGUGAAUGUCCAUAUUUUAGAGAGAUUUUAGGGUUUGUUACUUGGUGGCUAAGUCACUUUUUCCUUAUAAAUAGAGGGGUUCUAUUCCAUUGUAAUUCAUCCUAAAAUUAAUAAGAAUUCUCUCUCUCUUUUCUCUGCAAUUUUCUUCUUUUCCUUUAUUGUUUUAGUUCAAUUUUUAAAUUUUUCUUAAAUGUUCUUUUGUCAAUUUAAUUAUCUUGCACGACUUAUCGUUCUAGCUAGUUCCACUCCCAAAUAAAACUCUUUGUUGCCAAGGUAUGGAGAAACACAAGAAUAUAUAUAGGAAUAUAAAGGGGAUUCAUCCGAACAAAAUAGGUUAGGAUGACUUCAAACCUCGCAAUAAGGGUUCUUGUAUUAAGGUUUACACUAUUACCAUGCUUAUGUCUAACUCUAUGAUGUUCUGUGUUUACCCUUAAAUCGGAUAACAAUCAAAUUUAUAUGCGAUUUUAAGAAUUUGUGGAUUGAUUCAACACAAAUAAUCAAGAAUAUUAGAUAAACAAGUCAAAGACAAAAUGAAUGAUCAAACCAAUUGUAAUGCUACGUCCUAGCUUGAUCCUAGAUUAAACAGUAGUUUGCCCUCAAUUGGACCCUUGGUUUCGAACCCAAUUAUGAAUGAAGAACAAAACAGUUAAGUAAGAACUUUUGUAGUAGUUAGAAAGCAAAAAAUGAAUUUGUAUUGCCUUGAUUCGCAUGUUACCAUGUGUCUUAAAAGAAAAAAUCUCCCCUUUAUAUAGUAGGAGAGUUCCAUCCCUAGUACAAGUCGAAAAAAGGUAAAAAUUUUCUUUUCUCGUUAAUUACUAAUCUGUAACUGACAUCGAGCGAGAUCCGCGCCGUGAUAUCUGGUCAGGUGCGAAUAUUACGGCCCCUUAUCCAUCAUGUGUAACCGUUUACCAUAUUUCUCGAGGUUUUAGAACUCGUUCUAGGUCUGGGGAACGUCGCUUUAUCACGUCCAGUGAUGAACAAAUCGUUCUUCUUUCGUGGGUCUUGAUACGAAAGGUUUCCGAACUCGAUUUCAGUCUCGCGCAUCCAUGCCCUACUUCCCUUUUCUUCACCGGGAAGUCGGGUAUGAUCUACCCCCGAUUUUACACGUAUACAUUCUGAAUAUUUAAAUUAAUACAUGGACUUUAAUGCAUAUUCUUAUGUAUUUAUGGUUCAGUUUGCGAUGAAGUUACAUAGGGAUUAUAAUUUUCUCAAAGAUACUGGUUUUCGUACUUUGGCGGGUCACCAAGAUCCUUUUAUGACAUAUUUUGAAGGGAUAUCUAUCUAAUUCGAUCGAUUGCGUAAAGCUCGUAGUAGUAACAGAAUAGGAGAAAGUAUACAUAAAAGACAGAGAUUAAAUAAUUAUAGAUAUAUUUAAUAAAUAUAUUUUUUAAUUUGAUAGAUGUUUGGUUCGUUGAAUUAAAAACACGAUAUAUAAAAGGGCAAGUUACAUAUUUGGCCGGUCAGUCAAAAAUAAUUAUAUUCGGUAGCAAAAUAUAUAAAAAAAUAUGUAUAAAAUAUGUGUAUUCUAUAUUCAUAUAUAAAAAAUAUACGUUUUGUAGACUAUUAUUUUUAAAGUGACUUAUACACUUAUAGUUUCCCCUUACAAAUAACAAUCAACAAAAAAAUUCAGGGUAAUCUCACAAGUACGAUAUGGGGAGGGUAGUAUAUACACAGACCUUACCGCUACCUUGUGAAGUGUCACAACCCAUAAUUUUUAACCUCGGGACUGUGAUGGCGCCUAACAUCGACUUGCUAGGCAAGACAAAAUUAUCAAAUUAAUUUACCAGUCUUUAACCAUUACUAUAGAGUUGUGAUAUCUAACGAUUAAUAAACUCAGAAUUUAAUACAGUGUUAAUAGAAAUAACGCGAUGCUAACUACUCCCAGAAAUCCGGAGUCACAAGUACAUGAGCAACUAGAAUACUACAUAUACGGUCUGAAAUAAUGUAUAACUGUUUGAAACUAAAUAAACAGUAAACUGGAUAAAGAAGGGGACUUCAGGGCUGCGGACGCCAUGCAGCUACACCUCAAGUAUCCAAUACAGCUGAAUCCGAGUAGAAACAGCACCAGACGUUGUUGGGACCAACACCAGUAUCUGCACAAGAAGUGCAGAAUUAUAGCAUGAGUACAACCGACCCAAUGCAAUCCAUAAUUGUCGAGCCUAACCCCAAUGAGGUAGUGACGAGGCUAUGACUAUACACCUACAUAAAUCAUGUACAAGUAUAUACAUAAAGUAACAAAAUAACAAGUAGUACAAUUAAAAUAUUAACUGGGAGGGCACAUGUAGAAAGGGGAGUAUGAUAAGAACGGCAAGUACAAAAUCACCAAAUAAUCUUUAUCUGAAAAAUAAUAAUAAUGCAACUAAUUAAAUCAUCAAUCCGGAAACCAAGAAAAACAAUAAUAUCAAAAAUGGCACGACAUCACCCUUCGUGCUUUUACUCUCAAUCUCAUAUGAUGUGUUAAAUCAUAAUAAGCAAUCAAAUGUACGGCAUCAUCUUUCGUGCUUUAAUCCUCACAAUAUCUCAAAUAAAUAAUAUUGUGUGCAAAUAAGGCACGGUAAUACCCUUCGUGGUUCUCACUUUUCCUCACCAAGCAACAACAUUAAUCCAAAAUAGCAAAACAAGGUGGGAAGCUAUUUCACUUCAAUCUUAGUGUAAUGAUGAUUCAUCUCAACAUUCAAAAUUCCAACAACUCCAAAAUAACCAAUAGAUAUGAAUGCGAACAAUUAAAGAAGUAAUAAUCUAACUAUAACAUGAAAAACAUAGUCAUGAAAACAACAUAAUACAAUAAAAUAAUGUUUACCCACAUGCUUUAACCCAAUGACAACGUAUAUAUACUUGUCACCUUACAUAUACGCUGUCUCCACACAUAAUUCACGUAGCAAUUAGACCAAUGAGUCUUAAUCCCGUAAGUCAAAGUUAACCACGAUAAUUACCUUACACCGCAAAUAAGUCAAUCAACCAACCACGACCUUGCCAUUUGAACAAGUCUCCAAACCAACCAAAUAUAACCAAUUAUUGAUCAAACAAUUCAAAAUAAGCUUUAGAAACUAUUUAUGAAGGAAAAAGGUUCAAUCUUUAAUGAAUUUGGAAAAAGUCAACAAAAGUCAACCCCGGACUCGCUUGAUCAAAAUUCGAGAUUCAGACUAAAAUCUGAUUACCCGUUCACCCCCGAGCCUAGUCAUGUGAUUUGUUUCGAAAUCCUACCUCAAUUUGAGGUCUAAAUCUCAAUUUUUCAAAAUCCUCAAUUUCUACCAAAAUUCCUAAUUUCUACCAUAAAAAUCCUAGAUUUGAUGUUGAACACAUGAAAAGUAAUAGAUAAUUAAAAAGAAAUGGAUUAAAGUUGCUUACCAAUGAAUUUGAGAAGAAAGAUCUCUUGAAAAAUCGUCUCUAGAGUGUUUAGGGUUGAGAAAUGGUGUAAAAUGAGCUAAGUCCCAAUUUUCUCCUCUUUUACCCAGCUGCGGAUGUCGCAAUUGCGAACUCUUGUUUGCAAUUGCGAGCAUCACAAAUGCGAGAAGCAUGUCGCAAAUGCGAACUGCGUCCCCGACCUACUUUAGUCGCAAUUGCGACAAAAAUAUCGCAAAUCGAUCCCCUAUCCAACCGUAAAUAGGAUCAAAGGUUCGCAGGUGAGAACCUGUCUAAGCCCAGGGCUGAGUCUCAAAUGCGACCGAACUAUCCAAAAUGUGAAUUGUGGGAUGUCCGCAAUUGCAAACAUUUCUUUGCAAAAGCGAAAACUACCCUACCCAGUCCCCCAUCUCUAUUACGAGCUCAACUUCGCAAAAGAGGAGUUCACAUUUGCGAACAAGUCUUCGCAAUUGCGAGACCUGUAUCCCAACACCAAAACUGAAGCACACCAGCAGUACUCACACUAUCCAAACUCAUCUGAAACGCGUCUGAAACUAACCCGAGCCCCUCAGGCUCUAAACAAAACAUGCACACAAGUGUAACAACAUCAUACAAACUCGUUCGUGCGAUCAAAACCUAAAAAUAACAUCUAAAACUACAAAUCGGACAUCAAAACGAAUGAAAUUCAAAGAAAAACUCAAGGACCUCUAGAAUUACAACCAAACGUCCAAAUCCUAUCAAACCAACUCCGAAUUGUACCAAAUUUUGCAGAUAAGUUUUAAAUAGAAAAACAGACCUAUACCAAGUCCCAAAACUAAAAUCCGAACCCGAUAGCCAUAAAGUCAACCUACGGUCAAACCUAAAAAAAAUUCAAACUUUCAAAUUGCUAACUUUCGGCAAAAUAAGCCAAAUCAAUUUAGGGACAUCCGAAUUUAAUUCUGGGCAUACGCUUAAUUCCAAAAUCACAAUACAGACUUACCAGAAUUGUCAAAAUACUGAUCCAGAGAUAUUUACAUAAAAUGUUAUCCGCAGUCAACUUAAGUUAUUUUUUUAAAGUCAAAACAUCAUAUUUUUACGUAAAAACUUUUCGAAAAAAGACACAAACUGUGCACGCAAAUCAAGAAACAUCAAAUGAAGCUGAUAGAGGUCUCGAAAUAUGAAAAUAAGGGCUAGUACUCAAAACAACAUAUUGGGUCAUCACAUGAAGAUAGAGAGGUUGUUUCCGAUGACCCUCGGCUCAAGAAAAGCUUAAUUACGACAAUGUUACAAAGGAAAUACGAUAGUGGGGAAGCCAUAAAAAAAACAAGAACAACAAUAAUAUAAUAAGAUAGUCGAAACAUAAGAAGAAACAAGUGGUAAUAUAAAUCUAAGAAUAAGAAAAUACAAGAAAAGUACUAAUGCAGCUGGUAUGGAAAAAAAAUACACUCGACCACAUACUAACCUCAUAUCCUAAUUCCCGGCCUCCAGACCCUCCUAUCAAGGGUUAUGUCCUUGAUAAGCUGAAGUUGCACCAUGUCCUGUCUUAUCACCUCUCUGUAGUACUUCUUUGGCAUAUAUCUACCCCUCCUUUGACGUACCAUGAUCAACCUCUCACACCUCCUAAUUGGGGCAUUUGUGCAUCUCCUCUUCACAUGUCCGAACAAUCUUAGUCGCGCUUCCUGCAUCUUGUCCACCAUAUAGGCCACGCUCCCCUUAUUCCAGAUAUCCUCAUUCCUAAUCUUAUCUCUCCUAAUGUACUCCAUCUCAUCAUCCUCAUUUCAGCUACUUUCAACAUCGAUACAUGAGAAUUCUUGACUAUUUAAUACUCUUCUCCAUACAACAUAAUUGGUCUAAUAAUUACUCUAUAGAACUUACUUUUAAGUUUUGGUAGCAUAUUCUUAGCACACAAGACACCAGAUACGAGCUUCUAUUUCCUCCAUCCCCCUCCAGUACGAUGUGUGACAUUAUCAUCGAUCUCUAUUACCUUAAAUUAUUGACCCUAGAUACUUGAAACUUCCUCUCUUGGAGAUGACUUGUGUAUCAAGCCUCACUUCUACGUUAGCCUCAAGAGUUGUGUCACUGAAUUACACUCUAAAUAUUCUUUAUUAGUCAUGCUCAACAUGAAACCUUUAGACUCCAAGGUCUAUCUCCAAACCUCAGCCUUGCAUUAACUUUGCCAUUGUGACUCGUCAAUCAGUAUUAUGUCAUUUGUAAAUAACAUGCAUCAUGGCACGUCUCCGUGAAUGUGUCGCGUCAAUUCAUCAAUCACUAAGAUAAUAAAAUGGACUAAGAGUUGAUCCCUAGUGCAACCCCAUCACGAUUAAAAAGUAUCCCCAGUCUUUCCCCACUGUCCUUACUCGGGUCUUGGCUCCAUCUUACAUGUCCUUAAUUUCCUUAGUAUAAACUACAAGUAAGGGACUUUGUCGUAUGCUUUUUCUAGGUCAAGGAACACCAUAUGUUAGUCCAUCUCCCUCUCCUUAUAUUGCUCUGUAAGUCUCCUUACAAGGUGAAUAUCUUCUGUAGUCUAUCACCCUGGCAUGAAAUUCGAACUGGUUCUCAAAAAUUGACAUUCCCAUCCCCACCCUCAUCUCAACCACCCUCUCCCAAACUUUUAUAGUAUGGAUUAGCAACUUGGUACCCCUAUAAUUGUUGUAAGUUUGAAUAUCAUCCUUGUUCUUGUACAGUGAAAUUAUUGUACUCCACCUUUAUUCUUCGAGCAUUUUUGCCAUUCUAAAAAUAACAUUAAACAACCUAGCUAGGCACUCCAAAUUUGUCCUGCCCGCGCUCUUCUAAAAAUUAACUGGGAUCUCGUCUAGUCCGGACGCUCUUCCCCUGAUUAUCUUAUGCAUAUAUCUCUCAAACCUCCUCAACCUUUAUAGACCUACAAUACUCAAAAAUUCUACGACUCUCGGAGUGCUCCAGCACACCCGCCACAAUAUUCAUAUCCCUAUCUUUAUUCAAGAGUUUAUGGAAGUAUGUCUACCAUCUUCAUCUAAUGUGUGCCUCUUCCAUCAAUACUUUGCCCUCCUCGUCAUUGAUGCACUUCACUUGGUCCAGAUCUCAGGAACUCCCCUCUCUCACUUUGGCAAGCCUGUACAUAUUCUUAUCCCACCUCUGUCCCCAUGUUCUUUAUACAAGCAUUAAAAUUCUGCCGUCUUCGCUGCCACAACAGCUAACUUCGCCUCCUUCUUUGCCAUAUUAUACCUCUCCCUAUUAUCCUCUCCUCCUCCUCGUCCUUGCGCUCUACUAACUUCGUAUAAGUAACCUUCUUGGCUUUCACCUUUUCUUGGACCUCUCUGUUCCACCACUAAUCCCUCACAUAUAGUUUUUUAAGAAUUAACCUAAAUAGCAGCACACUCAAACGCUUAAAAUUAAAAUAGCCAACGGUUGUAUAAUAUAUGUAUACUUCAUAUAUAAUAUAUGUAAAAUUAUAUAUAAUUAGUGAAUAAUCUAUGUUUACCUACUUGAAAAAAUAAAAAGUGAAUUUGGCCGAUUAUUUAUGUAAAGAUACCUAUAAUUUUCCCUUGUAUUGUAUUAUUGUGUAAAAUUUUACGAAACGCCCUAUUUGGUUGCCCCCAUUUAAUUUGUAUUUACUUUUUAAAAAAAAUUAACUAGUACUCUAAGUACAGAUAACAUUAGGCCGUUUUCUCCUCCUCCUCCUCCUCCUUCUUAGUCGCUAUAAAAAUAAAGGUGACGAUGAAUUUACAUGGUUCUUGUGAGCAGGUUUUUAAGGCGGUUUANNNNNNNNNNNNNNNNNNNNNNNNNNNNNNNNNNNNNNNNNNNNNNNNNNNNNNNNNNNNNNNNNNNNNNNNNNNNNNNNNNNNNNNNNNNNNNNNNNNNNNNNNNNNNNNNNNNNNNNNNNNNNNNNNNNNNNNNNNNNNNNNNNNNNNNNNNNNNNNNNNNNNNNNNNNNNNNNNNNNNNNNNNNNNNNNNNNNNNNNNNNNNNNNNNNNNNNNNNNNNNNNNNNNNNNNNNNNNNNNNNNNNNNNNNNNNNNNNNNNNNNNNNNNNNNNNNNNNNNNNNNNNNNNNNNNNNNNNNNNNNNNNNNNNNNNNNNNNNNNNNNNNNNNNNNNNNNNNNNNNNNNNNNNNNNNNNNNNNNNNNNNNNNNNNNNNNNNNNNNNNNNNNNNNNNNNNNNNNNNNNNNNNNNNNNNNNNNNNNNNNNNNNNNNNNNNNNNNNNNNNNNNNNNNNNNNNNNNNNNNNNNNNNNNNNNNNNNNNNNNNNNNNNNNNNNNNNNNNNNNNNNNNNNNNNNNNNNNNNNNNNNNNNNNNNNNNNNNNNNNNNNNNNNNNNNNNNNNNNNNNNNNNNNNNNNNNNNNNNNNNNNNNNNNNNNNNNNNNNNNNNNNNNNNNNNNNNNNNNNNNNNNNNNNNNNNNNNNNNNNNNNNNNNNNNNNNNNNNNNNNNNNNNNNNNNNNNNNNNNNNNNNNNNNNNNNNNNNNNNNNNNNNNNNNNNNNNNNNNNNNNNNNNNNNNNNNNNNNNNNNNNNNNNNNNNNNNNNNNNNNNNNNNNNNNNNAGCAGACUAGCGGACAAGAUAAAAAAUUGAAAAAGACCAUGAAUUAGGGCUUAAAUCAAUAAAAAAAGAUUUUUACUUUUAAAUUUAAUACUUUUGAGUUUCUUUUAAACCUUUUGAGUAAUUACCAAACUGACUUUUGAGAAUUUGGGUAUUAUAUGAAAGACUUAUUCAACAAAUUUUAUUUUAAUUUGAAAAAGUCUCUGGGGCUUACUACUCACUAAAAAAACGCGUCUCGAACGCCCGGGCGUACGCCUCAAAUUGCUGGGCGUACGCCUCUUGAGACUUUCGCCCUACACCAUCGCCCCGGAGCGUUUUUGGUACGCCUCGCCUCGGGUCUCACCUCGAAAAGCCUUUUAAAACAGUGCUGCUUAGCAUUUCUUCUUCUUCUUUUUCUUCUUCUUAAUUUCUAAAUGGGUUUGUUAGAUUUGUUGUUGUUUUGACAAAUUGACGAUUGUGGCUUGUUCUUUAUGAUAUCUGGAGGUUACAUUUCAAAUUUGAGCUCAUUUGGAAUAGAUUUAAGUGUUGAAUCGUAUAUUGGAUUGUUGAAAUUCGAAAAAUAAGUUUCUAUUUUUGGGCAUUUGCACUUUAGACCUAUUUGGCCUUAAGUACAUAAAAAUAUUGAAUACAUUUUAGACUUAUUUAGCCUUAAGUGCAAUUUUUGCUUUUCAGGCAUAUUUGGCAUUAAGUGCAUGAAAAUAUUUGUUGCACAUCAGACCUAAUUGGCCUUAAGUGCAUCUUUAACGUAAUUUUUGCACUUUAGACUUAAUUGGCCUUAAGUGCAUUGCACUUCAGACUAAUUUUUUUUCUUCAACUUCAAACCCGAUAAGUCUGAAGUUGAAAUAUAAGUGGAUAGACUUGUAAUUGUUUGUACAAAGUAGGUAUAACUUCAAUGGUGACCUCAAAAUAGGGUAUUGUUGGUUCCAUAAGUACACACAAGUAUACGCGGCCAUCAAGUUCAAGUAAAUCGAAAGUCGGAUGUCGAACCCAUAGAGACUUAGAGUAAUUGUUAACUAAGCAAAUUAAAAUUAAUUUACUGCCCAAGGUAAUCAAAAGUGUUGAUUUUUCUAUUACAACUACUAUUGCUAAAUUUAAACACGUAAAUAACUAAAUUAAUAAAAAGCGAUUGUUGUUGGAUUUUAAUCAAAGGAGAUAAAGAUUUCAGAGUUGUGGUCGGUUUAUCAAUCCUAUUGAAUUCGUAAUUACACCUGUUAAUCCGAUUAUCUAUGGUUGCUUGUUGACCAAAUCAUUUGUAUAAAUAACAUGUUCUCACAUUACUAUUCGUCUAUUCACAAUAUAUCAACCCUUCAUUCGUAUGGUAUUGAAUCUAUCAUGAAUGAAGAAAAUACGGCAUUCAAUUAAGUAAGAUUGUUAGGUAUAUUCCUAUCCUAGUCGCGAAAUCCUCCCCUGAGCCACAGGUUCGGAAACAAGCUCUAUCUAAUUCUACUCAAAUCUAAAUACGACUUUCCCAAGCAUAUCAUAAAUAUUAAAUAGAACUCAAUUGCGGGCCAAACAAUUAAGCAAUUAUGCACAGAAUUAGAGAAAUAACCUACGAUAAAAACUCGAAUUAAUGGUGAUUUAAUUAAUAAACUUCAAUAUGCAUGACAAUCACAACUCUAGAACGCGAAAUUUAGCUCCACAUAAACAUAGUAGCAAAACAACAAAUCAUCCAAACAAACAUACAAAUUAAUAAGUUUGGCGGAAGAAAAGAUGAAAUGCGACCUUCACGGCGGCUCUGUACUCUCUCUUGGUCAAAAGUCUUUCAAAAAUUAUGUCUAAAGACUAUUUAUAGGUGUAGGAAAAAGCCUAAACAAAAUAACCAAGUCCAAAAUAAAAAAUAAAAUAAAAAAAGAAAUAGCCUCCGACCCGGACAUCAGUGCGUCGCUCCUGGACUUGCCCGCGCUAGGCGUCGCCUCGCGACGUGGAAAUGGUCUGCCUCGCGUUGCUCACCUUUUCUACUUCAAUUUGUUGCUUAACUUCUACAUUCAUCUCACUUUGUAUGUUUUCAACCAAUCUUUGAUGCCUUCCACAAUUCAAAUGCUAAAUUGACUCUUCUAAUCACGUUCUACUUGCUGCCACAUGCUACUAGGAAUUAGAAUUAUUUAAAUCUUGUAAUGAUUCUCCAGUUGUAUUUGAGAGCAAGGAGUUUUCACUUUUAAUUCUUUAACUCAAGUCUCCAAUGCUUCAAAUUUUAAUAACUAUACUUCUUUUGCUUCAAAUUUCACCUCCAAUGUACCUAUAUUAUUCAUUAAAACCCAAAAUAAGUAGGGGUGUACAAAUGAAACCAACAAAUCGCACAAACCCGAUAAUCCGAGUCAAACCGAGAAAAAAAAUCCGACUAUAGUUUGGUUUGACUUGGUUUGGUGUUGGGGAAAAAAAUCCGACCAUAAUUGGUUUGGUUUGGUUUUAACUAAAAAAAGUCAAACCGAAACCAAACCAACCUGACAUUAUAUGUAUGGAACUCCAGCGCACUGAAUUGUAAUGUAGUUUAUAAAUAUUUCUUAAGAUAUUUCAUAGUUUUAUUUUUUAGCGUAUUAUCUCAAGCUUAGACUUAUAAUUUUUGGAUGCUUCAAUAAGUUUUAUAGUCCAUAAAUGUUAGUUACUCAAAUAAAUCCUAAACCGAAAUCAAAUCAAUACUAAUGCUAACAAAAGACAUGCAAUUCAAUUGUACCAUGAAUGAAAAUAGUGUUGGAUAUCUAUUUUUAGUUUUUUCAUGCUUUAGAUAAAAUGAUAACUUAUUUUUCUUUUAGUGUUUAGUUAAGUAAAUAAUAGUAGUACUUAUUAGUCGUACUUAUUUUAGCAACUUAGUAAUUUUAAAUUAUGUUUGUUUUCAUUAUAGCUUAUUAAUAAUAUAUUUUAUGCACUUUUAUUUUAUUUAUUGUUGAAUAUUUUAGUACAAUGCUAUGACUCAUCUCCUAUUUAUGUUAUUUUAUUGAAAAACACUUAUAUAGUUCUGUCUUACUAGGAUUAAAGAAAUAUUUAGAACAUAAAUUUUAUGUUUUGUGCAAUGAAGACUUUAUGAAAAAAAUCCGAAAAAACCCGAAAAUCUGAGAAAAAUAGAGAUUAAAAAAUCCGACUUUUAUUGGUUUGGUUUGGUCUUUAGAUUUAAUAACCCGACACAAUUGGUAAUUGAAAAAUGCGAACCAACUCGACCUAUUUACACGCCUACAAAUAAUUAUAAAACUCAAUAAUCAAGUUUUGUAUAUUCAAUAUCAAAUAUUACCGAAGAACGGUAAAAAUGGGAGUAAAUUAAUAUCAAAACGUAUGAAAAUAUUGCCACAUCAAGUAUAGAUGCAAAUGCCCAUUAUUUUUCAGGAGCGCACUUAUCCUAGCAAACCUUAGUCCAUUUAGCGAUUCCCCGUUCUUAGGCCUUUCAUUGUAGCAACGCAAGCCCAAAAUCCAUAAACCAAACAGCCCCAAAAUCAAUUGCCGGCCAGGCACCGUUUUCUCCAUUCUCUUUUCGGUCUUGCGCCAUUAACACCACCCUUUAACUCCCCCUUUUUCACUCCUUAUUUAACCUCUUCUCCUUAGAACGAAGAUGAAAAUUCAGAUACUGCAGAACCUUGCCGGAAUAAUUUCCUUGCAGCCAGAAGAUGGGAGAGGUGUUAUAUGGAUACAAUCGAUCGUUACUAAACCCUAAGAAUUAACGUCGUGUAUCUAUGAAUGUAGUAUCUCAGAACGCCUUAGCAAUUUCCACUUGCGAUUUGACAAUUUGUUCAAUCCAGCGCCUCUAUCCUUAGACAUAUGAUUUUGCAGGUAAUAAUUGGACUCUUCUUCUUCUUCAGCAAUUGGUUAUUUGCGUCCUAUUUUCUUGCUUUGUUUACAAUUAUAUACCUAUUGCUUAGACCUGCUAAUUACUGGCCUUUAUUUACAGAAAACGCUUUCUAGUUGGUACUUCUUUUUUUAGAAUUCCCCUUUUGGAUUUACUAAGCUCAAACGCAAAUAAAUAGAUAUUCAUAUUCAAGUGUUCGAAUGUGUUAUUCAUUUCAGUCUAAUUAAAAACUGAAGUUACAAAAUCAUACAUGAACAUUUGACCAUAAGGCGACGGACUUUGAUGAUCUCCAUGCUUAAUUGUAUAUGAAAUGGUCCAAAUUACGAACCAAAAAACAGAUUCUCUUGAUAUAUAGUAGCUAUUCUUUUUCAGUAUACCAAAUACGAUCGGAAUAUAUGAGAAUAAAUGCAUGAGCAGAAUAUAAGCAUCCGUACACAUUCUACCUGAAAUCCAUCUUCACAUGGGAAAUUAAAAAAAGGUAUGGUCACCUAUUUCCUGUAACAUUCAUUUACAAGGUAAUACAGCCUGUUAAUAUUAUUCAUCCAGUUACCAUUGUUUGUUAUCUUAAAAGCUGGUAUUCAAUAUUUACUAAAUAUAUCUAAAAUAAUAAGAGAUGGGGAAUUCUCUAUAUAUUGGAGUUACAAAUUACAUAGAACAAUAAUAAUGCUCAAUACAUAAGAAAGGUUUAUUGCAUGUAGUAACAUUGUGCAUAGAAUCUCGCUGUCCUUCCAAAGGCAAUGAUGGUUCUCGUGCAUGAGAAGUGGGUUGCAGCCAUGCAUGAAGAAUCAGAAUCCAUGCCCUUUUCUGUACCACUCAAUUUAUUCUUUCAAAAUACUAAUAGAAAAAAAGGACCCUCCAUGAAAAAGACUCUGAGUGUUUGACUGUCUUUUAAACAUAUUUUAGCUCUUUGGACUUCCCUUAAUGUGGAACCCAUGCCUACCAUUAGUCUUUCUAGCAAAAACAAGGUGGACACCGGGAUCAUGGUGAGUGCAAGAAGCAUUGUGGAGAAUGGAGUUGUUGACACCCUGCACGUUGCUGUUCAUGAAUGCAGUCAUAGGAAGGGACUUAUUUGGCGUUUUAUUCUCUCUUU
rnacentral:lncRNA from 1 species